ACCGUCUAUGAAGUUUUUAAAAUUCCACAAACAAAUUGAAGAUACUACAUGUGUCUUGUAAGGUGUAGUGGGCCAAAUUUGCCCGGCCCGAAUAAAAACAAUAAAUGAUAUAAAAAUCUAGAUAUCAAUAGUCCAUUAUUUACAACCCAAAAUCAAACCAAAUUAACCCCAAUGUUUCAAGACCCAAAUUACAAAUCCAUUUACAAAAUGACAUAGCCCAAUACCCCAAACGGCCCAGAAACUGAGCCCCAUUUUGGCAAACCCUAGGGCAAGGGUCUCCUUGUGCCGCAGCCCUCACUAGCAGCCAAACCACAUUGCGCCAGACAACGCCUCCAACAGCACCAGCGCACAGCCCUCGUACGCCACGCCCGUACCUCCGUACGAUGCCAGCAGACUCCGUACCUGCGAAAAAGACACACAGAACAGCAGCGAAUAGGGAAGAAGAAAAUAGCAUUUUCAUUUUUUGAUUUUUCUUUCUUUUCGGCUAUAAAGGCCAUGUAAUAGCCUAGGUGAGUUUUUUACGCAACAUAAACGCACAAUAGGCCAUACAGACACAAUCAAUACAUUUUGAAAUACAAAAAAGCAACGAGCAUUCGAAGGUGAUUCCGAUUCAUAAUUUCUGAGAUUUUUUCCUUUUCUUCUUGGCUUAGUUUCAUUCUCCCUGGAAUUUCUUUUUGUUCUUUCGCAUUUUGGGUUGUAUAAAAGAGAGAGGAAAUGAAAUCUUACCCCGUGAAUACGCCGUGAGAUAUCCUCUGAUUCGUUGAAAUCGGGGUCCGAGAGGAGUAUAAGGCGGAAAGAAAACCAUCUUGAGGCUCGAACAGGCCGAUCUCCAUUCAUUGCGGUGGAUUGGCAUGGCAGAUGGAGGGUCAAGGUUCGUUUGAGGGGAGUAAAAAUGGAGGCUAGGGUUUGGAGGUGCUGGCUUAAUCUGCUGAUUGAGCCAUUUUAUAGGACCUCAAACUGUGUCGCAUUGACAUCAAAGCCCGACCCGAUUCGAUUCCAAACCCGAUGACCCGCGUGUUUUUGCGGUGAGGGACUAUUUGCACAUUAAAUCCCUCCCUUUUGCGCCACGUUUAAAUCAAUCCAUAUUUUUAUUCCAUUUCUUUUAAUUUAGGCUUGUAUUUUGAGCUCAUUUGCAAUGGGGUCCGCACAUGUACACAGCGUUUUGGGAGUCUGGAAUAAUUUCAGUUUUGAUCCUUGCAUAUUCGUAUACAUUAUGCGCUGGCCCUUAUCUGUAUUUACAAAUUAUCCUUCCAUUUUAACGUGGUUUCAAUUAGACCCUCUCUUUUAUGUGAUUUCAAUUAUUUUUUUUAGAUUCACCUCAUGUUUUAUUUUAUUUUACUUGUGUUCAUUUACUCGUGUUCAUCGUCUAACUUGCAUCAUUUACUUAUUGUAAUUUGGGUAACUAUGCUUUCAUAUUUUGCGUAUUACCUCAUGUAAUUGUUUUCUUUAUAUACGCUAUUGUACAUAUAUAUUUGUACUUUACAUUAAAGUCAAUUUCAUUUCAUAUAUAUAUACAUUGUUAACCUUAUGUUAUUUUAUACAUGUGUUGUCUUAAAUUUAUUAUUGUAGUUUAUUACAUGGUCCUAUAUAAUAUAUUUUCUCAAUUAUUAUUAUAUACAUAUAUGUUUAUAGAUAUCUAUACUUGAUAUCUAUAUAUAUAUUAUUAAAUCUAUGUAUUUUAUGCAUGUAGUUUUUCUCUUUUUUCAUAUAUGUAAGUAUAUUCUUCAAUUCAUUAUAUAAUUUAUAAUAAAAUCAGUUUUAGCUUGCAUAUAUUUCUAUGUUUUUUACAAAUAAUUAUUUUUUAAAAAAAGGGGGGUUAUUUAUAUAUAUAUAAUUUGUAGAUCCAUUGCAUUUUUGAAGAUUAUAUCGUACUAUAUAUUUUUAUUAUUACCGUUUUUAAUAUAUUUUACACAUACUUUAAAUUAUUAUUCUAUACAUCCUCGUUUUUUUUUUAAAAAUCAAUAUUAUUCUACGUUUUGGUAUGAUUUUCGAUUUAAACAUUCAUUUUAUAAUAUUUUUUAAAAUGAUUAAGCGUAUAUCCCUAGUUUUUCCUUUUUUACAAAUAAAUUUUAAAUGCACCAAUUCAUUAAUUUGCAUGUCAUAAAGAUUUUUGGUUCAUUAGAUCGCAUUUGUUCCGACAUCGUCUUAUACCACUUUGACUUCUAAAUUCUAUUUUGUUUUGCAUACGCUCUUUUGGUUGCUUUAUAUAUGUACAUUCCUUGCGUGGCAUCCACCUUAUUGAACUGUUAAUUACUCAUCAUAUAUGAUUGAAAUUAGGCUAUAAUUCCUAGAUUAAUUAUAUUUAAUUGCUUGUUCUGCUAGUUGAUUCAUUAAGUAUUGUAUCUCGUAUGUGUAUAUUACCUCAUUCAUCGUUUUCCAUUUGAUUUUCGAAAUGCGGUUUUAUAAAAUCCAAAUUUUAUGAUUAAUCUCGUACUAUUUCAAAUUGAAUUAAUACGUCUUAAGCUAGCUCUAUAAUCAUUCAUUCAAAAAUUCUUUAAAAACGAAGGCAAGAUUCGAUGUUUGGCAAUUCGUGGAAUCGUGCCCUAACGUGUUGGGUUGCGAUUUCGCGUUUGCUCAAAAUAAUCGAAUAUCACUUCGAAAUUUCACUCACGCCUUUUAAAAUUCCUCAAAACGAAGACGAGGUUUGAUAUUUAGCAAUUCGCAGAAUCGUGCCCUAACGUGUUGGGUUGCAAUUUUGCGUUUGUUCAAAAUAAUCGGGCUUCCCUUCAAAAUUCCAUUCAUAUCUCCUAAAAUUUUUUAAAUGAAGGCAAUGUUCGACGUUUGAUAAUUUGAGAAUCAUGCUCUAUCGCGUUGGGUUGUGGUUCCUGGUUUGCUCAAAAUGAUCGAACAUUCCUUUACAUUCUCACUCAUGUUUAUAAAAAAAAUACUUAAAAACGAAAACGAUGUUCAAUGUUUGGCGAUUUGAGAAUCGUGCCCUAUCGUGCUGGGUUGCGCUUUUUCAUUGGUCUGAAACAAUUGAAGAUCCCUUCAGAAUUUCCCUCGCACUUUCUAAAAUCUUUUAAAAUAAAGGCGAUGUUCGAUGUUUGGCGAUUUGAGAAUCGAGCCCUAUCAUGCUGGGUUGCGCUUUCUCAUUUGCCCAAAAUAAUCGAAUAUCUCCUCGAAAUUUUCACACGUAUUUUAUAAAGUAAGGCAAUGGUCAAUAUUUAGAAAUUCGAAGAAUCGUACCCUACUGUGCUGGGUUUCGAUUUUUCGUUGGACUAAAUAGUUGAGCAUCAUUCUGUAAUUCUCAAAUUAUAUACCUUCGGGCAUCGAAACAAGAAAUUUUGGCAACCAAGUCGGAUCACUCAAACGUUAUAAAAGGAACCACAUUUCAAAAAACUUUUAAUUUUAGACAUAAGGACAGUAUUUAAUUGACUUGGUACCAAUUUUGGGCGUAGUGAGGGUGCUAAUCCUUCCUCAUGCGUAACCGACUCCCGAACCUGUUUUCUCAAAAGUUCGUAGACCAAAAUUAUUGUUUUAAUAAACCAAAAAUGUUUAUUUAAACUAACCUCAUUUUUAGGUGAUUCGAUCACACCAAAAUAAAAGAUCGGUGGCGACUCCAUAUUUUCAUUUUCCAAAAAGUCGAUUCCACCAUUUUUCAUUAAAAUAAUUUUUUUUUAAAAUCGUGGGAUGGUUUCGACAGCUUGGCGACUCCGGUGGGGAUUUGAACUUGAGAGUCGAGCCAUAAAAAUCGAUUAUUUACUGUCCUUUUGUUAAAAAACCGAAAAUUUAUUUUAAAAAUCAUGUAUAUUUCGAUUGCAUUUGAUUGUAUGUUUGUGCGGGCCUUGUAGAAUAGCACUGCAUUUCAUUGCAUGACCACUGUGGUUACACCUUCUAAGUGGAAGUAAGAAGCUACGCUUUCGUGAGGUUUUCACCUCCGCAUGGGCUAGUGGAUUGCUUCCGGGGUACAUCCGUACCUAUGAUUUCGUGAGAUUUUCAUCUCUGCAUGGUCAUAGGGAAAUGUAUCCCCUCGAACCGAACUCGAUCUAUAUGAGCUUAUAAUGGGUGAGGAUUGAGGAAUCUGCUGGUUCGGGUACCCAUUUUCCUAGAACUAAACCACAUAUAGUGAACCUUAGGAGCUAUCCUUGGGUGGAGCCGCGUCGAACCUUAGUACUUACCCGUACAUGCGUUAUAAUCACCGUUUAUGUGCUUGCAUUCUAUUGCUAUUAUUUGAUACUAACCGAUGUUUUGUUUUGAUUGUCUUUUUUGCAUGACAUUGCAUAUUAAAGGAGGCGUUAAUCUACAUUCAAUUACUAAGUUAGAAAAUUUGACAUGGAGAAUGAAUUUUUUAGUAAAGUCGAGGAUAAUGCGGCCGUUCGUGCUUGGUCGGAGAGGCUACAAUCUGAGAGAGGGGAUAGCUUGGCAGAAGGGUAUGUGUCGGAGCUGUAGGAUUUCACUCGCGUCAAUGUAGUACAGAAUAAGCUGCAAUAGUUGAGAGACAUUUGGGUUAGUUGGGAUGAAAGGAUCAAGCAGUUGUUUUACCAAAGUUAUGGUGACAUAUCCUACCUGCUAGACAUUAAAGUGGAUAAGCAUUUGUUCCGAGCCUUGGUGCAGUUUUGGAAUUCCGCAUAUAAGUGUUUUACCUUUGGAGAAGUGGAUUUGGUACCUACCAUGGAGGAAUAUACUACGCUGCUUAGAUGUCCAAAGAUUCAGGUCUGGAAGACUUAUGCCCGGGUUUUUAGUAAUCAGGCUUUCGUGAAGAAACUGAUGAGCAUUUCUGGGAUGAGCGAGUCUUGGGUCACUGCUCGGAUUCAGCAGAAAGGAGAUAGCAAAUGUGUCCCUUGGGAGAAUUUGCGAGAUUUGAUCUUGACUCAUCUAGACGAAAGAAAGAGGGUCGAUAUAUUUGCCUUAAGCAUCUACGGAUUAGUGAUCUUUCCUACGGCUUUGAGGCACGUGGACGAGGCGGUCAUUGACUUGUUUGAUCGUCUUGAAAAGGGAAUCACACCGGUACCGGCAAUAUUGGCAGAAACGUUCAGAUCUUUGAGCUUAUGUCAGAAGACGGGUGAGGGGCGAUUUAUUGGAUGUGCUCAACUAUUGAUGGUAUGGUUUCAUGGGAACUUUUGGAAGGUAGACAAGGUUUCCUAUCGAGUCUUUUCCAAAGGUUAUUCCCCUUUGAAAGAAGAGGUAGCUAUACAGAGGAGAAAGGAUAUCUCAGAAGAGAAGUGGAUGGAUAUUUUUCAGAACCUUAAGGAGGAGGAUAUCGAGUGGAGUGCUUAUUGGAUGGUUCCUGAUGAGAUCAUGUACCAAUGUGGUAACUUUGAUUGGGUGCCAUUGUUAGGAAUUUGGGGAGCUACCGGGUAUACUCCGUUGAUAGCCUUGAGGCAAUACAAGUCGAGGCAGUUUGUACCCACGACCUAUGGACUUGCUCAGAGUGAAUUCUCGUUUAAAGGUGCUCACUAUUAAAAGAGAGUUCGGGAGUUAUCGGAUGCUUGGAAGCAAACUUGUUAGAUGAAGAGGUUAGCCGUCGGUUCUAUGGUAACGCCCGAGUACAGCAAGUGGUUUAAGAAGAGGAUUAAUGAUAAUAUUCCUAGGCCAAGCUUAGAGAAUGCUCGGCCUAUCGGGGAACAAUUACAAGUCGCCCCAUCAGAAUUGGAGAUUAUAAAACAAGAUUUCGAGAAGAAGAGUUUGGAGUUUGGUAAGAAGAUCGAACAAUUAGAGGAAGAGAAGAUGCACCUAAGAUUAGAGGCUGAUGUCCAAAGGUCAGAGGCUGAGAAGUGGAGAAAAGGAAAAACUAAGGCUGAAGAAGAUCUAGACAGUUUGAAAAUGGACUACAAAAAGUUACGCCUAUCUAUGAGGAUUGCGGGUUUAGGUAAGACUUCCGAACAAUGGCGCCAUGAAAUUCGGGAAGAAAAAACCAAUACCGACCGGUGGGAAAGGAAAUUUCGAGAAACUCAAGCACGAAACGAAGAUUUGGAGAAAAGUCUAUCAGAAAGCAGAAAUGAGCAAGGGGAAUUAAGGGCUAGAGUGGCAGAACUCGAGAAGUCCCUACAUCAGUACCGAAACCGCAACACCGUGACAGAAUUGAGGGCAAGCUUGAGCAAAAUACAAGAAAUGAAAGGAAGAAUAGAAGAGUUAGAGGCGUCACUGCAAAAUUGUGAUAUGCGAAUCCAGUUUUUUGAGGCAAACGAGGAUCGUUGGAAGGAGCAACUUCACCAUGCGCAAGGCCAAGUUAGAAAUAGGGAUUACCUUAUGGGAGAGGCCAUAACCCAGAUCCGGGAGGUAGCGGACUACUUGCAAACUCUAGCGGUUCAGGCAGACACACUAAGCGUGAAAUAUGAGUUAGAGUCGGAGCGCGAACAAGAGCUGGCCUCAUUGCUUAGAAAAAUUAGGACUUUGAGCGUUAGAGCAAAAUUAUAUUUGUAACUCGACUUUAUGUAAAAGAUUUUAUUUUCAAGUAAAAUUUUCUAAGGGCUGUUGAAUCAAAAUUGAUGCCUCCUUUACAUUCAUGCAUUUGCAUUACAUCAUAUCAUUAUGCAUUAAAGGCCAUUAGAGUUUUCUAAUUAAUUAACUAAAAAUUAUUUCAAUAACCUGGAAACCAAUGAAAACCAACCACGCACCCCUACAGUACAAGGAAAAAAUCAAUGGAUAAGAGACUCGAGAAAUUAGAGCGGAUGCAAAAAGACAUGCAAGAACAAAUACAGUCUCAGAUGCAAGAGCAGCUAGCCAAGAUUCAGUGAGAGAUGAAAGAGCAAAUGAUGGAGUCCCAGAGGGAAAUGAUGAGUCAGUUAUCCCAAUUGUUGUUGGGAGGAACGGAUAAGGGAAAGGGCCCCAUGGACAAAGUUGAAGAAGCUAAUGAGGAUCCUCAAUACCCCCUGGCUUCACUCUGACACAUGUACCGGUGAAGCUCGAGAUUAAUCUACCGAAGCCAUCUGUCACGAUCAUACCCCAGCAGGUUCAGGCUGGAGCUUCAAUACUGAUGAAUUUCCAAACCGGCUUAGGCUCCAACUUUGUCAACAACCCGAACUAUCCGCCCAUUCCCGAUUUGGAUGAAAUUGCUGAAGAAGAAAAGGCGAGGAUGGAUUCGCAAAAACAAUUGGAAAAACGGUGUAGAUGGCUCGAAGAGAAAUUUAAAGCCAUGGAAAGCGCGGAUCAUCAUCAAGGGAUUAAUGCCAAGGACCUAAGUUUAGUCCCAGAUUUAGUCCUUCCCCCCAAAUUCAAAAUGCCCAAGUUCGAGAAAUACAAUGGAACAAGUUGCCCUGAAGCUCAUAUCAUUAUGUUCUGCAGGCGAAUGACGGGAUAUGUUAACAAUGACCAGCUAUUAAUCCACUACUUUCAAGAUAGUUUGGUCGGGGCGGCGUCUAAGUAGUACAACCAAUUAAGCCGCUCUAAGAUUAACUUGUGGAAGGACCUGGCCCAAGCCUUUAUGAAGCAAUACAAUCACGUGACAGACAUGACCCCUGACAGAAUCACUCUCCAGAAUAUGGAGAAGAAAUCGAAUGAAAGCUUCAGGCAGUACGUAUAAAGAUGGAGGGAGGUGGCCAUACAAGUUCAGCCGCCACUUCUAGAAAAGGAGAUAACGAUACUCUUUAUAAAUACCUUGAAGGCCCCUUUUAUCACUCAUAUGUUGGGAAGCGCCACCAAGAGCUUCUCCGACAUAGUGAUGAUGGGAGAAAUGAUCGAAAAUGCUGUAAAGAGCGGCAAGAUAGAAUCGAGAGAGAGUGCUAGGAAGUUAGCCCCGAGGAGAAAAGACAAUGAAGUGAACAACACGAGCACAUUCAACAAGGGGCAGCCCAAGUCAAUUACCGUAAAUCAACCCAAAAUGGUGACUACCAAUCAACAAAGUUCUGUAAGGCAAGAAUCCAAUGCGAGGAAGAACAUAGAAAGGCCACAAUACACCCCUAUACCCAUGUCCUAUAGAGAGUUGUACCAGAACCUGUUCAACGCUCAUGUGGUAUCCCCUUUCUACCUGGAGCCACUGCAGUCCCCGUAUUCCAAAUAGUAUGACGCGAAUGCCCAAUGUGAGUACCACGCGGGAAUCACCGGGCACUCAAUCGAAAAUUGCACUGCGUUUAAGAAAGUGGUCGAAAGACUCAUUAAGGUGGGAAUCAUGAGAUUUGAUGACCCAGCCACGCCCAAUUUAGCAGGAAACCCACUCCCUAAUCAUACCGACCAAGGAGUGAAUGGGAUAAGUGAAGGCUUGAACAAGAAGACCAAGUAUGAGGUGGCAGAAAUCAGGACCUCGUUGAAGCGGGUAUGGAAAGAGAUGACUAAGAGAGGAUUGAUAGCAUUGGAUCCAAGGGAAGAACCCGAAGAAGAGAGAAACUACUGUGAGUUUCAUGACGAGGUGGGGCAUGAAAUCCAAGAAUGUGUGGAAUUCAUGGCCCUCGUGCAGAACAUGAUAGAUAACAAAGAAAUGGAAUUCUAUGAAGAAGCUAAAAGCCUCAUAGAGGGAAAUGUAUGCGCAUCCGAGGGAGAAUCAAAGGCGUAGAAUCAAAUGCCUAAUUAUCCCGUGGUGAUCAUUUCGAGACCCAAAAAUAAUGAAGCUGGAGUAAAAAUGCCAUCGAGGGUCAUAAUCCAAAGACCUGCAGUCUUCCCUUACAAAAACAGUAAAAAGGUCCCAUGAAAUUAUGAUUGCAGUGUGACGAUGCCGGGAAAAGAGAGCCCGGUUAGCGCUUCAAUAAGGGAUCAAGAUAGAGGUUCCUAUACACAUAGCGGGAGGCGUUACGAUACAAUGAAUGAGGAGGAACAGCCCACAAAAGAAAAAGCCCAGGUGGUCAAGGAAAUGAAGGAAAAAGCAACCAAACUUGUUAAUGAGCCAGUUAACGAAGACGAGGCCAAGGAAUUUUUAAAAUUCCUAAAGCACAGCGAAUACAGUGUGGUAGAACAGCUACGUAAACAACCAGCUCGCAUUUCAGUGCUGGCCUUGCUUCUAAGCUCGGAAGUUCAUCGUAGCGCACUAAUGAAGGUCUUAAACGAGACAUAUGUUGCCAAUGAUAUCUCCGUUAACAAGCUGGACCGGUUGGUGAGCAACAUAAGUGCCGACAAUUUUAUCUUCUUUAAUGACGACGAGAUACCACCUGGGGGCAUGGGGUCGACUAAAGCUCUGCAUAUCACCACACGCUGUAAAGGGUACACGCUACUAGGUGUACUGAUUGACAAUGGAUCAGCUUUGAACGUCCUGCCAUUGACCACGCUGAACAGAUUACCUAUAGACAGCUCUCACAUGAAGGAGUGCCAGAACAUCGUGAAGGCAUUCGAUGGCACGGAAAGAAAGGUGAUGGGCAGAAUCGAGGUACCUCUCUAGAUUAGGCCAAACACAUAUGAGGUGGAUUUUCUCGUGAUGGAUAUCAAGCCCUCAUACAAUUGCUUGUUGGGGAGGCUCUGGAUACAUUUAGCUGGGGCAGUACCUUCCCCGUUGCAUCAAAAAUUGAAGCUGGUGUCGGAGGGGAGGUUGAUAACGAUUAAGGCUGAAGAAGAUAUUAUUGCAACUGUGAGCAAUAAUGCACCCUAUUUGGAGACAUAUGACGAAGCAAUCGAAUGCUCAUUUCGAUCUUUGGAAUUUGUUAACGCGACGUUCAUCACCGAGGGAAGCAAAAUUUUGGUGCCGAAAUUGUCCAAAACCACGAGGAUGAGCCUCGAGUUGACGAUUGGAAAAGGGGCCCUACCCGGAAAGGGACUUGGGAGACAUCUACAAGGAAGGAUCGAAACGCCAAUGCUGAAAGAAAAGAGAGACCGCUUCGGCUUAGGAUUUAAGCCGGAUGUGAAACAAAGGAGAAGGGAGCCAGAAAAGAAGCAAGAAAGAAGGAGAGCUCGAUUAAUGGGGGAGCAAAUCAAGUGGGAACCAAUGACAUUCCCCCAUAUAUUGAAAACAUUUGUAUCCAGGGGAAUCAUUCAUCCUGAGAGAGACACGCCAAUGAUGGGAGCUAUAAAAGAAAGUCUGGAAAGUUUGGACAUCAACGUCAUGUACGAAAAGGAGACUGGAAGGGAAAAUUUGUCGGGCAUUUGCCCCUACACGCCUGGAAGUGUUCUGGACAACUAGAUUGCGGAAGAGAUCCUUGUAGUUUUUAGAACGGAUUCAGAGUAAUGUCCAAAACACACUUAUUGCUCUAGGCCUAGGAGUGAUAAGAAUCUUUUGUGAAAUAGGCUGAUGUUUAAAAACGAUAUUUCAAUAAAAUGCACAGUUAUUAUCAUUUUUGAGCAAAUGUUCUCUCGUCCUCUUAAUUUCAUUCAUAACCAUACAAAUGAUUACUUUCGGAUUCUUUUAUUCUUGAAACAUUCUUCUAAGUAUUCUUUCAUUCGUCAUUCAUAAUCAUAUCACGCAAAUAAAUGUUUCGAAUUCUUUUGAUUCUUUGUAUCUGCCUUCGUCCUUAUAACAGGUUCCCAAAUAUUAAUGAUACGAGUGACACUGCUAGCGACUCAGAAUUUCCUUUCGAGCAAGAUGUAUGUAUGGAUGAUUCUUAGGAUUUUGAAGAUGACCAAGGCUGUAACCUAUCUCUUGAUUUGUUGAAGAUGGAGGAACAAGACGAGAAAUAAAUCCUACCUCACAAAGAAUUAAUCGAAAUUGUGAGCUUAGGAGAAGGACAAGAGGUAAAGAUCGGAAUAAGUAUCACUGCGAAAAUGAAGCGAGACCUCAUUGAAUUACUUUAAGAAUUCAAAGGUGUCUUCGCAUGGUCAUACCAAGAUAUGCCCGGGUUGGACACUGACAUCGUGGUGCAUCGACUUCCCAUAAAAGAAUAGUGUAAGCCAGUUUAGCAAAAACUCCGAAGAAUGAGGCCCGAUGUCUUGCUAAAAAUAAAGGAAGAGGUUCGAAAGCAGUUUGACGUUGGAUUUCUGAAGGUGGUAAAAUACUCAGAUUGGGUAGCCAACAUCAUCCCUGUCCCUAAGAAAGAUGGAAAAGUGCUAAUGUGUGUAGACUACAGAGAUUUGAAUAAAGCCAGCCCAAAAGACAAUUUCCCACUGCCUCAUAUCGACACCCUAGUGGACAACAUGGCGGGACAUUCACUGUUUUCAUUCAUGGAUGAUUUUUUGGGAUACAACCAGAUCAAGAUGCAUCCUGAAGAUAUGAAGAAGACCAUAUUUGUAACCAUGUAGGGCACGUUCUGUUACAAGGUGAUGCCGUUUGGAUUGAAGAAUGCGGGGACAACUUAUCAAAGAGCUAUGGUAACCUUUUUUCACGACAUGAUGCAUAAAGAAAUCGAGGUUUAUGUCGAUGACAUGAUCGUAAAGUCUCGAACAGAGAAGGAGCACAUACAAGUCUUGAGGAAAUUGUUCUUGAGGUUGAGGAAGUUCCAGCUAAAACUCAACCCAGCCAAAUGUACCUUCGGAGCUAAAUCCGGAAAGUUGCUCGGAUUCGUGGUUAGUGAGAAAGGGAUUGAGAUCGAUCUAGACAAAGUUAAAGCCAUACAAGAGUUAUCCUCGCCGCGCACUAAAAAAGAAGUUCGAGGCUUUCUAGGAAGAUUAAAUUACAUUGCUCGGUUCAUUUCACAACUGACCGAGAAAUGUGGCCCUGUCUUUCGCCUCCUCAAGAAACAUAACCCAGGUGAAUGGGAUGAAGAAUGCCAAAGGGCUUUCGACAAGGUUAAACAGUACUUAUCCAACGCCCCGGUGCUGAUGCCACCUAACCCCGAUAAGCCGUUGAUACUGUAUUUGGCAGUAUUCGAGAACUCUAUGAGAUGCAUGCUGGCUCAGCAUGAUGAGUCAGGAAGGAAAGAAAAAGCUAUUUACUAUCUCAGUAAAAAGUUUACGGAAUGUGAGACAAUGUACCCGUCGAUAGAGAAGUUGUGUUGUGCCCUAAUAUGGACAACCCGCAGGCUGAGGCAAUAUAUGUUGUAUCACACCACUUGGCUCAUAUCAAAGUUGGACCCUUUAAAGUACAUGAUGGAGUCAACAACCUUAAAUGGAAGGAUGGCCCGAUGACAGAUUCUGCUUUCUAAAUUCAACAUAGUCUAUGUGAACCAAAAAGUAAUAAAAGGAAGUGCGAUAGCAGAUUUUCUAGCCAGUAGAGCUUUGGAAGACUACGAGCCUUUGAACUUCGACUUUCCGAAUGAAGACCUAAUGUGUAUUGCUACGACUGAAGAAGGUGCUCUGGAAGAACUUCUUUGGAAACUGAACUUCGAUGGGGCAUCAAAUGCUGUGGGCAAUGGAAUCGGGGCCGUCUUGGUAUCCCCAAAACGAGAUCAUUACCCAUUCACUAGUAAAUUGGAUUUUGAUUGUACAAAAAAUAUGGUGGAAUAUGAAGCGUGCAUCAUGGGUAUCCGUGCAGCCAUAGAACGUAAGAUUAAAGUGCGAGAGGUGUAUGGAGAUUCUGCGCUAGUGAUUUAUCAACUCAAGGGAGAAUGGGAGACUAGAGACCUCAAGUUAAUCGAUUAUCGGAAGCUGGUCCUUGAGUUGAUUAAAGAGUUUGAUGACAUUACCUUCCACUACCUUCCACGAGACAAAAAUCAGAUGGCUGACGCUUUGGCUACCUUAGCCUCCAUGAUCAAGGUGAACAAACAAGAAGAUGUCAAACCCAUCCGAAUGAACAUUUAUGAAAUUCCGGCCCAUUCUUACAAUAUUGAAAAAGAUGAAGAGAAAGAUGAUCACCCUUGGUAUCACGAUAUAUUGCAAUAUGUGAAGAAUCGUGAGUACCCGGACCAGGCAAGCGAGAAUGAAAAAAGAACGCUAAGAAGAUUGGCCAUCGACUACGUCUUAGAUGGGGAUAUAUUAUACAAAAGAAGAAAGGAUCAAGUGCUACUAAGAUGUGUAGACGCUGUAGAGGCUAGGAAAAUCUUGGAAGAAGUCCAUGAAGGCGUCUGUGGGACACAUGCUAAUGGCUUUACAAUGGCCAGGCAAAUUAUGAGAUUCGGGUACUAUUGGUCCACCAUGGAAGGAGACUGUGUCAAUUACGCUAAGAGAUGUCAUAAGUGUCAAAUCUACGGAGACAAAAUUCUUGUGCCUCCUUCACCGUUGCAUGUCAUGGUUUCUUCAUGGCCAUUCUCUAUGUGGGGCAUGGAUGUGAUUAGACCAAUAUCGCCGAAAGCUACCAAUGGGCAUCGAUUCAUCUUCGUGGUUAUCGACUACUUCACCAAGUGGGUAGAAACUGCUUCGUAUGCUAGUGUGACCAAGUCGGCAGUGAGCAAGUUUCUGAAAAAGGAUAUUAUAUGUCGAUAUGGAAUGCCGGAGAGGAUUAUAUCCGACAAUGCAUUAAACUUGAACAAUAGUACGAUAGCAGAAGUCUGCAGUCAAUUCAAGAACAGACAUCACAACUCGUCACCAUAUCGCCCAAAGAUGAAUGGGGCAGUGGAAGCGGCCAAUACAAACAUUAAGAAAAUUGUGGGGAAGAUGACCAAAACCUACAGAGACUGGCAUGAGAAGUUACCAUUUGCCCUCUUCGCUUAUCGAACGUCAGUCAAAACCUCAACUGGGGCAGCCCCUUUUUCUUUGGUCUACGGAAUGGAAGCGGUGUUGCCGAUCGAGGUCGAGAUCCCGUCCCUUCGAGUGUUGUUGGAGUUAAAUUUGGAAGAAGCCGAGUGGAUCCAAUCUCGAUAUGAUCAAUUGAACCUAACGAGGAAAAAAGGUUAAAAGCUAUUCGUCAUGGUCAGAUGUACCAAAAAUGAAUGAUGCAGGCUUAUGAUAAAAAGGUUCGUCCUAGAGAAUUCCACGAGGGAGACCUGGUUUUGAAAAAGAUUCUUCCCAUACAGAAAUAUUUUCGGGGAAAAUGGAUGCCUAAUUGGGAAGGGCCUUACGUAGUGAAGAAAGCUUUCACUGGAGUAGCAUUGAUUCUAGCCGAGAUGGACGAUAGAAACUUGCCCAAUCCUGUAAACUCGGACUCGGUCAAGAAGUAUUUUACCUGAAGAAAGAGAGGCCUGAGUGAAAACCCACAAAGGGUGCUCUGAAAUCCAAAAAAAAACCCGGAGAGGCCAAGGUGAAAACCCACAAAGGGUAUUUUGGAACCAAAGGGGCUUUUGAGUUGAAAACCCAAAAACGGGCAGCUCAAAUUUUGAAUAUGGGGCAUAUGGCGGUCUUGUCCUUCCAAAAUCAACAAGACAGAAGAACAUUACACCUUGGAGCAUCAACAAAAUACGCGGGAUCUCCUGAACACACAUUUGGUUCGAAUGAACCUUUGAGAAAUUAGAAUAGUGAAACUCGUGCUGCGAUAUCUGGGGCAUCUUUUUCUCAUUUUUCGCACCUUACCAGAUUCAUUAUCCUAUGUAUUCACAUCAAAAUUUGCUUAAUAAAAUGACAUUUGUCCAUUAUGAUAAUCUCUUUCGAGCAGUUUUGUCGAAAUCGCGAUUUUUGAACAUGUAAUAUCUACAUAAAAGAUGUUAUGCAUAUUACUCUGGAAAAGUCUCUAAAUAGUACAAGGACCUGAAACAGGGCCACUAGUCAGAACUAACCAGGUUCAAAGUUGGAAAAUAUUGGAAAAAGAGAAAUCCAAAUUAGGACUAUUUCUUCAAAUUUUCUGGCAGAGAUAACGGCUAAGUAAGAAAACGUGAUAGCACAUCAAUGAUGGAACCCGGACGAAUCAUGAGCAAUGAUACCUUAAACGUUUGAAGAGGAAUUAUUCUCAUAGCACUUCUACAUUCAUAAUCAUUCAUUUAGUUAGGAGCACUUGAUUCAUUUCGAUCAUAGCAUUCUAAUUAUCUGACAUAAACACCACAUCUAGUUAGGGACAUUUGAUUCAUCUCGAUCAUAGUAUCCUAAUUACUUGAUACAGGAAACCAAUUCUACAAAUCAUGUCUUUGGAAGACAGUGUAGUGACAUUGGCGAAUCCUACAGAUCCUGCUUCCCUGAAGUUGCAGUGGAGCAGAUCGAAGACGACAAAUCUUGACUUCCUGAAGUUGCAGUGAAGUAGAUUUAAGUCACUAACCUAGCUCCCUAAAGUUGUAGUGGAGUAGGUUGAGAUUUUAGAUCCUACUUCCCUGAAGUUACAGUGGAGCAGAUCAAAAACGACGAAUCCUGACUUCCUGAAGUUGCAGUGAAGCAGAUUUAAGUCACUAACCUUGUUCCCUAAAGUUGUAGUGGAGUAGGUUAAAAUUUUAGAUCUCGUUUCCCUGAAGUUGCAGUGGAGUAAAUCAAAGACAACGAAUCUUGACUUCCUGAAGUUGCAGCAAAGCAGAUUUAAGUCACUAACCUAGCUCCCUAAAGUUGUAGUGGAGUAGGUUGAAAUUUUCGAUCUCGUUUCCCUGAAGUUGCAGUGGAGCAGAUCGAAGACGGCGAAUCUGAGCUUCUUGAAGUUGCAGUGAAGCAGAUUUAAGCCACUAACCUAGCUCCCUAGAGUUGUAGUAGAGUAGGUUGAAAUUUUAGAUCUCGUUUCCCUGAAGUUGCAGUGGAGCAGAUCGAAGACGGCGAAUCUGAGCUUCCUGAAGUUGCAGUGAAGUAGAUUUAAGCCACCAACCCAGCUCCCUAAAGUUGUAGUGGAGUAGGUUGAAAUUUUAGAUUUUGUUUCCCUGAAGUUGCAGUGAAACAGAUCGAAGACGGUGAAUCUUGACUUCUUGAAAUUGCAAUGAAGUAGAUUUAAGCCACCAUCCUAGCUCCCUAAAGUUGUAGCGGAGUAGGUUGAAGAUUGUAGAUCUUGUCUCCCUGAAGUUGCAGUGGAGCAUAUUGAAGCUACUUGAAGAAAAAAAGUACCAAGAAGUCGAGGCUCAGCAGGUCCUGGCAAAUUUGGCCCAUUUAUAGUCUUUACUUUAUUCUCGUUACACGACAAUAUGCAAAGAAGGGCAGCUGUAGUGGGCCAAAUUUGCCCGGUCCGAAUAAAAAUAAUAAAUGAUAUAAAAAUCUAGAUAUCAAUAGUCCAUUAUCUGUCCAAUUACAACCCAAAAUCAAACCAAAUUAACCCUAAUGUUUCAAGACACAAAUUACAAGUCCAUUUACAAAAUGACAUAGCCCAAUACCCCAAACGGCCCAGAAACUGAGCCCCAUUUUGGCAAACCCUAGGGCAAGGGUCUCCUUGUGCCGCAGCCCUCACUAGUGGCCAAACCACAUUGCGCCAGACAACGCCUCCAACAGCACCAGUGCACAGCCCUCGUACGCCACGCCCGUACCUCCGUACGAUGCAGGCAGACUCCGUACCUGCGAAAAAGGCACAUAGAACAGCAGCGAAUGGGGAAGAAGAAAAUAGCAUUUUCAUUUUUUGAUUUUUCUUUCUUUUCGACUAUAAAGGCCAUGUAAUAGCCUAGGUGAGUUUUUUACGCAACAUAAACGCACAAUAGGCCAUACAGACACAAUCAAUACAUUUUGAAAUACAAAAAAGCAACGAGCAUUCGAAGGUGAUUCCGAUUCAUAAUUUCUGAGAUUUUUUCCUUUUCUUCUUGGCUUAGUUUCAUUCUCCCUGGAAUUUCUUUUUAUUCUUUCGCAUUUUGGGUUGUAUAAAAGAGAGAGGAAAUGAAAUCUUACCCCGUGAAUACGCUGUGAGAUCUCCACUGAUUCGUUGAAAUCGGGGUCCGAGGGGAGUAUAAGGCGGAAAGAAAACCAUCUUGAGGCUCGAACAGGCUGAUCUCCGUUCAUUGCGGUGGAUUGGCAUGGCAGAUGGAGGGUCAAGGUUCGUUUGAGGGGAGUAAAAAUGGAGGCUAGGGUUUGGAGGUGCUGGCUUAAUCUGCUGAUUGAGCCAUUUUAUAGGACCUCAAACGGUGUCGCAUUGACAUCAAAGCCCGACCCGAUUCGAUUCCAAACCCGAUGACCCGCGUGUUUUUGCGGUGAGGGACUAUUUGCACAUUAAAUCCCUCCCUUUUGCGCCACGUUUAAAUCAAUCCAUAUUUUUAUUCCAUUUCUUUUAAUUUAGGCUUGUAUUUUGAGCUCAUUUGCAAUGGGGUCCGCACAUGUACACAGCGUUUUGGGAGUCUGGAAUAAUUCCAGUUUUGAUCCUUGCAUAUUCGUAUACAUUAUGCGCUGGCCCUUACCUGUAUUUACAAAUUAUCCUUCCAUUUUAACGUGGUUUCAAUUAGACCCUCUCCUUUAUGUGAUUUCAAUUAUUUUUUUUUAGAUUCACCUCAUGUUUUAUUUUAUUUUACUUGUGUUUAUUUACUCGUGUUCAUCGUCUAACUUGCAUCAUUUACUUAUUGUAAUUUGGGUAACUAUGCUUUCAUAUUUUGCGUAUUACCUCAUGUAAUUGUUUUCUUUAUAUACGCUAUUGUACAUAUAUAUUUGUACUUUACAUUAAAGUCAAUUUCAUUUCAUAUAUAUAUAUACAUUGUUAACCUUAUGUUAUUUUAUACAUGUGUUGUCUUAAAUUUAUUAUUGUAGUUUAUUACAUGGUCCUAUAUAAUAUAUUUUCUCAAUUAUUAUAUACAUAUAUGUUUAUAGAUAUCUAUACUUGAUAUAUAUAUUAUUAAAUCUAUGUAUCUUAUGCAUGUAGUUUUUCUCUUUUUUUAUAUAUGUAAGUAUAUUCUUCAAUUCAUUAUAUAAUUUAUAAUAAAAUCAGUUUUAGCUUGCAUAUAUUUCUAUGUUUUUUACAAAUAAUUAUUUUUUAAAAAAAAGGGGGGUUAUUUAUAUAUAUAUAAUUUGUAGAUCCAUUGCGUUUUUGAAGAUUAUAUCGUACUAUACAUUUUUAUUAUUACCAUUUUUAAUAUAUUUUACACAUACUUUAAAUUUUUAUUAUAUACAUCCUCGUUUUUUUUAAAAAUCAAUAUUAUUCUAUGUUUUGGUAUGAUUUUCGAUUUAAACAUUCAUUUUAUAAUAUGUUUUUUUAAAUGAUUAAGCGUAUAAUUCUAGUUUUUCCUUUUUUACAAAUAAAUUUUAAAAUGCACCAAUUCAUUAAUUUGCAUGUCAUAAAGAUUUUUGGUUCAUUAGAUCGCAUUUGUUCCGACAUCCUCUUAUACCACUUUGACUUCUAAAUUCUAUUUUGUUUUGCAUACGCUCUUUUGGUUGCUUUAUAUAUGUACAUUCCUUGCGUGGCAUCCACCUUAUUGAACUGUUAAUUACUCAUCAUAUAUGAUUGAAAUUAGGCUAUAAUUCCUAGAUUAAUUAUAUUUAAUUGCUUGUUCUGCUAGUUGAUUCGUUAAGUAUUGUAUCUCGUAUGUGUAUAUUACCUCAUUCAUCGUUUUCUAUUUGAUUUUCGAAAUGCGGUUUUAUAAAAUCCAAAUUUUAUGAUUAAUCUCGUACUAUUUCAAAUUGAAUUAAUACGUCUUAAGCUAGCUCUAUAAUCAUUCAUUCAAAAAUUCUUUAAAAACGAAGGCAAGAUUCGAUGUUUGGCAAUUCGUGGAAUCGUGCCCUAACGUGUUGGGUUGCGAUUUCGCGUUUGCUCAAAAUAAUCGAAUAUCACUUCGAAAUUUCACUCAUGCCUUUUAAAAUUCCUCAAAACGAAGACGAGGUUCGAUAUUUAGCAAUUCGCGGAAUCGUGCCCUAACGUGUUGGGUUGCAAUUUUGCGUUUGCUCAAAAUAAUCGGGCUUCCCUUCAAAAUUCCAUUCAUAUCUCCUAAAAUUUUUUAAACGAAGGCAAUGUUUGGCGUUUGAUAAUUCGAGAAUCAUGCUCUAUCGUGCUGGGUUGUGGUUCCUGGUUUUCUCAAAAUGAUCGAACAUUCCUUUACAUUCUCACUCAUGUUUAUAAAAAAAAUACUUAAAACGAAGACGAUGUUCAACGUUAUAAAUAGUUGAGCAUCCUUCUGUAAUUCUCAAAUUAUAUACCUUCGGGCAUCGAAACAAGAAAUUUUGGCAACCAAGUCGGAUCACUCAAACGUUAUAAAAGGAACCACAUUUCAAAAAACUUUUAAUUUUAGACAGAAGGGCAGUAUUUAAUCGACUUGGUACCAAUUUUGGGCGUAGUGAGGGUGCUAAUCCUUCCUCAUGCGUAACCGACUCCCGAACCUGUUUUCUCAAAAGUUCGUAGACCAAAAUUAUUUUUUUAAUAAACUAAAAAUGUUUAUUUAAACUAACCUCAUUUUUAGGUGAUUCGAUCACACCAAAACAAAAGAUCGGUGGCGACUCCAUAUUUUCAUUUUCUAAAAAGUCGAUUCCACCAUUUUUCAUUAAAAUAAAUUUUUUAAAAAAAAAUCAUGGGAUGGUUUCGACAUAAGAUAUAUUAAGAAUUUAAAAACAAAAAAAAAUGCUCAUUGGAAUCUAGGUUUUUUCAUUGAAAAUUGGGUCCAAAUGAGUUCUUCAGUAAGUUCUUGAAUUUUCCAUUAUGGGUGUUCUUUGAUGAAGAACAAAAAAGAUAAAUAUGUUUAUAAGUUUUUUUUUUCUAAAGGCUGAAGGAAAUAAUAUUGAACUUUUUAGAUUAUUUAGUUAAAAAUUGGCAAGUGUGACUAAAUGAUUGGCUAAAAGAUUUUUUAACACUUUGGGUAAUUUUACUAAUAGGGUAUAGUUUAGGUAUCAAUUUAGGAAAAUGAGUAUAAUUUAAGUAUCAUUUUGUGAUUUAAGCUUUUUUUUCACAAUUUUUUUAUAAUGACUUAAUCCCCUUAAAAUAUGGUGUUAGAGACAAUGUUGUACAACAAUGUUUGUUCAAUGACCUGAUCGAUCAUAGACUAGAUUAGUCAAGGUAUGAGACAACUUAGGCAUAUUAUAUGUUGAAAUUUUUUGGCAUGGGUCUUGUUGGAUGUUAUUUUAAUAAGCAAAUGAGCCUCUUCAACCUUCUCAUUCUAGUAUUCAAAGCUAAAAUUAAAGAGGUAUUUAUAAAGAGUUUAAGCAUGUGGAAGAGAUUGAAUUCGACUUGGAUUUAUAGUGAGAUUUUUUCUCAAUCUCAAAUAUGUGUUUCAUGGCUAUUUUUAAUGAGGUUUCUUCUAUUUAACUUGAGACUUUAUUAAUAAAUAUUUUUUAUUAUAUUUGGCAUAAAAAAGUCAAGUUAAUCUCGAUUUAUUUGAACUCAUCCUUCUUGCCCGUGAAGCCUAUAAAUAGGAUGUUAUGUCACACAUUAGAAAGGGGCCUUUUGAGUGCUUUCGUCUGGUUAUUUUGUUUUUUGUUUUACUUAGUAUACACUCUUGUGCUAGGUUUUUAUUAGAGAGUUUAUAUUUUAUGUGGGUGAGUUUUUUUAAGUGAGUGAUUUGUAGCAAUUGGGGUCAGUGUUAGGUUGCAAUUACUACUUUCUGUAAGGGUAUAUUAGAAUCAAACCAAUAACUAUUUCAAAAGAUUGUUGAAUAAGAAUUAUUCACAGAGUGAAGAUCCGUAGUGUAGAAUUGUUUCCAAACUGUGUUAACAAAUAACUGUGUGCAAAUCUAUCUUUACUUUCUUUGUUUUACAUUUUUUGUAUCGCUAUCUAAUCAAUAUUAUAAUUGAACACGACAUUGAACAAAAAGAUUAAACUUAUAGCAAAUUGACGUGUUUCUUCAAAUGGUAUGAGAGCAGGCUUCAAAUGUUGUUUAGAAAUGGUCCUAAGAACUAUAUAUUGUCAUGGAAACUAUGAGAGAAGGAAAUUUUAUCACAUGAACACCUCUACUAUUUGGCUCCUCAAACUAUGCUUAUUGGAAAGCCCAAAUGAGAUCUUUCAUCAUGUCAGUUAAUGAAUCUACUUGGGAAGCAGUUAAGGAAGGUUGGAGUAGGCCCGAGGUUAUAGGUACUGAUAGGUUAACUAAGCCAAAAUAAAAGAACAAGUAAACAGUUUAUGAGAGAAGGCUGCCCAAACAAACUCAAAAGCUCUUUAUGCGAUUUUUAGUAGAAUUGACAUGGAAUAGUUUAGGAUGAUCUCAACCUAUGAAACCACUAAAGAAGCAUAGACCAUCUUGUAGAACCAACAUGAAAAGAAUUCUUCUAUUUGUCAAGGAAACAUAUAUCUAUAAGUAUGAAUGAAGAAAUAUGGCUUUGAGAGAUAUCUGAAUUUAAAAUGAUGAUAAUGGUUACCUGGAUGGGUUCUAACAAUGUGUUUCAGUUCUACAAGGCAAAAGAGGUAGUAGCAUCCUACUGAAUGAUGGAUCUGAAGGCUAAACUAUCAUUUGAGGUUAUCAUGUGAGUCCCUAGGUUGACUUUUGCAUGUAGUAUCUAGGAACUUCUAUGCUAAGUGACCAAAUAGUGAAUGAAACUAGAAAAGUAUGAUGUUGUAACGCCCUAAAAUUUUGUACAUUUUGACUUUUGUAAAUCGGUAGCACAAAAAUAUCUGUAUAUGUUUUUGGUAAAUUAUGACACAUAACUGCGUAUUUGCUUCAGUGGUUAAGUGUUCUCGGUGUGUGUGAAAAGUCUCAAGUUCAAGCCUUGUCUUGGGAAAAUUUUUGGUAUUCUUCUGAAAUAAGCCCUAUUUCUAAUCAGUGGGCUUUUAUUUUAAUUGAUGGUAAGUUUAUAUCAAAAUGGGCUUACUGGUCUGAUGGUUAAGGUAUAUGUUAGUGUGUUGGGGGUCUUGGGUUUGAGUCUCUGCGUUAGCAAGGGGUAUUAUUUUUGUUCGAAUUUCGAUGAGAGUUGUCCCGAAGUUAGAUUCUAAAUAGUUGGCUAUUAGUAGGUUAGUGGGGAAAGAUUUGAGGGAUAGGGGGUUAUUGGAAUUAUCUUCAUUAUUUUCUUUUGCUAUUUUGAAAAUUCGAUCCUCCCUCUUAAAGAAAAACUCUGUCAUUGUUGUUUCUUCCUGCUGUCGUUACUUUCUCUCUUUCACCAUUUUGACAAUAGUUAGCCAUUUCUCCUUGUUUCUCUGCUAUCGUAAGCUAGUAUUUCGAUAUUUCAUCACUGUUCUGUGUUCUGGUAAGUGGGUAAGUGUGUUUAAAAUUUUGUGAUUUGAAUCAUUGAUUAAUGGGGUUUAUUCCGUGUUUAGGAGAUGAUUAAGGGGUUAUGGAUUCCAAUUGGUGCUAGGGUUGUUUGGAUUCACUGUCGUUCGUUCUAAGUUAAGAGCUCUUGUAGAAUAAAGGGUUGGUCGUGUUAAGGUGCUUCAAUUUGUUCUUGAUAUAAGUGUUUAAUUGGUGUUUUUUGGUCAAUUAUAAGUGCUGGUAAUCUUGGGAUCGUGGCUGCUACGAAAACAAACCAGGUGUAUGUAACACCCCUCGCCCGUAUCCCUCGCUGAAACAGGGUUCGAGGUGUUGCCCGACUUAAACUCAGUCAAUCACACAAAAACAGUGCCGAAAAAUUUCAAUCAAUUUAAAACUUUUCUUUUCACAUGCAAUCUGUCCCAUAUAUGGGCUUACGAGGCCCAAAACAUCACUAGCCAACACCUUUGGCUAAAUUAUAAUAUCACAUACUCAACAUUAAAACCCUAUACAUGCCAUAGACUCGAAAUACUAGGAUUUACUUACACCAAUAGCGUGAGCUCGACAGUGUGAUAAUAUCUCCGGCGAACUCCAACCCGAGCAGGUAACCGAAGUUAACAAUCUAUAAAACAGAGGAAUGUAACAACAGAGUAAGCUUUCAUAAGCUUAGUAAGUCUUAAGCAAUGCAAACAAAUAAACGCAAUUAUACUUCGAUUAUUCAAUUUCUUAAGUGGCCAUAUUCUAGGUAUAUUGCCAUCUGGCCGAAUACACACAACACAUAAUGCACGUUCAGCAUUCUUAUCACACUUAAUCUGAAUUCGUAAAACAUAAUUAAAUCGAAUACUUUCACAUACUUUCACACCCUGACCCGGUGUAUCAUGAUCAUAGAUAUAGUUAUAACAUUUAUUCACGUAUGUAUCACAAUGCACGCUUAUGAUUCAUUGCAGAUCAAAUUCACAUAUGAGUACAUAAUGCGUACCUGGCCCACUUAACGUACUGAAUGUAUUCAUUUGUCAACCUAACACGAGGUACCUUAGUCAUGUACUUUUCUCAAAUCACCGGCAUUUCGCCUGUUAGGCUCGAGGCCCGAUAUCAGUUCACCGGCAUUAUAGCCUGCUAGGCUCGAAGGCCCGAAUAGUAUCUCACCGGCAUUAUAGUUUGCUAAGCUCAAAGGCCGGAAUAAUCAAGUCAACAAGUUCCAUAUAACAUAUUCAUAUCAAUUAAGUACUAACAUCAUUCGAACGUAUAUAAUUAUACAUCUCAAACACUUUUCUUUCAUCUCAUUUUCACACUUAGCAUUUGAUAGCUUAUGCAUAACAUUUCACUCACGUUCAUUUCAAACUUAUCAUUCGAUUAUAAAAGCAUAUUGCAUUUUUACCAACAUGUUAUACUUGCCAUUAGGCCAUAUAAGUAUGAUACAAUACACUAUCAUUUCAUCUUUAACAUUCGGCUAAACCCUUAUCUUACAAGGAACAUCAAAUUCACAUAACAUAUCAUUUCACCGGCAUUACGCCUGCUAGGCACAAAGGCCCGAAUACACAUCACCGGCACGAAGCCUGCUAGGCACGAAGGCCCGAAUACACAUCACUGACAUUAAGCCUGCUAGGCACGAAGGCCCGAAUACACAUCACCGGCACUAAGCCUGCUAGGCACGAAAGCCCGAAUAUAAUACCAGCACUAGGCCUGCAGGAUUUAUCCCGGAUACACAUCAAAUAUCAUGCAUAUUUAAUCAUAUAUUAAUACAUCUCAUUCAACAUAUCACAUUCGUAGUCAUUUGCAACAUUCGGGUAUAAGCUCCAUAUGAACACCAUCGUUUACAUUUCGGUUCAAAAGUCAUUCAUAAAUAUCACAUAUCCAUUUCACCAUUCAAACUUAACCCAUAGUGACCAUUCGACUAUAAGUCAUUUACAUAAAUUAUUUAUCGCACAACUUAAUUCAAGUAGAACCAAAAGGUCACGAUUCAUCUAAUAUAUACAUAUUGCUCACUGAUUCACACACAACCUUUCAAAUUAGCAAUUAUAAGAUGGUUCCGCACAUAGCCCAUCCUUAUCGAUAAUUUCUGAUGGUUUUACCCUUACUCACAUAUAUGUCAUAGGCAUUUUUACCUAUGCUUCACAAUUCACAUUCAUGAUUCAAUUCCAAUCGAUUUAACAUGCAUAAGUACAUAUCACAUACCUUAAUAAUUUACUUUACAGAACGAAUCCACAUAUUGUAUUAGCCCAUAGUCUUAUAGCACCACACUUUUAAUAGUUUACCUCAUCGAAGUUCACAUUUAAUCACUUUAGUGCCAAGCCAUAUUCGGCUACCAUAAAGGACUAAUAAUAAUAAUUUUAUACACAUCAUGGUUUCCUUUAGGUAUUUAAUAAUCACAAAUCGUGAUAUCUUCACCAGCACAUAUACGCCACAGUUUAUUCAUUGUAACACUUAUUUAGUGCAUCAAAUUUCUAAAUCCAAUUCAACUUAAGCAUAAUAGCCAUAAUCGGCUUAUAGCCUUAAAUCAUUACAUAUUCGACACAUUAACUAAAUAAAAUUUACAUUCCCUUUUCCAUAUUAAUUUAACUCUUGGGCAUAUAAAAAGGAAUCAAGCUUAAACACUUAAGAACUUACCUUGAAUGUUGCCGAACGAUUACAACGGCUAUUCGAUUACUUUCUCUUUUCCCUUAUCCGAAUUUUGCCCCUCUAUGCUCUUGAGCUUCAAUUCAAAUAUUUUAAACCAGUCAUUAUUCGACUAUUCGAGCAUCACUUUCAAAAUAUAAUAUAUACAUAUAUAUAUUCGACUUUCACUCCUACUGAUCAUAGUAAGCUUAUAAGAAAUCAAUAAGCAACUCAUUAACAAAUUUUUGUCAAUGUUUACCACAUAAUCAUAAUUUCACUGUAAGCUGUCUUCCUGAGCAACAGUCACUGUAAGCUAAGAAACUCCAAAUCAAGUGUCGUUAAUUUUCCCUAAAGAUAGACUCAUAUAUCUUUCAUCCAUAAAAUUUUAAGAAUUUUUGGUUUGGCCAAUCAAUACCAUAUUUUUCUUAAAGUUUCCCCUGUUUCACUGUUUGACUAAUCUGACCACUCCUCACUACGAAUCAAAUUUCUCAUUUUACAGAAUUCAAAAUAUGUUCUCGUUUAUUUCAUUUGAAACUAGACUCAUUAAGGAGUCUAAGAAUAUAAAUUUCAUCUUAUGAACAUUGUUUUACAAUUUAUAAUGAUUUUAUAAAGACAGAACAGAGGAUCUAGAAGUCAUUCUGACCCUGUCCCACAUCACUUCAAAUAUCUCAUUAUCGGAAAUUUGUUUGCUUACACAGUUUGUUUUAUAAGAAAUUAGGCUCAUUAAGCUUUAAUUACAUAAUUUAUUCAGCUUCUAACUCAUCUCCCACAAUUUAUGGUGAUUUUCCAAAAUCACGUUACUGCUGCUGUCCCAAAUAGAUUUAUUACCAAAUCACUCUUUCACACAUACCUUGCAUGCAUGUUAUUUAAACAUGCAUAUCACCAAUCAAUCAUCACAUAUAUAUAAUUUUGCUUAAGCAUAAUCUUCAUUUCGUCAUUUUAAAGCACAACAUGUUAGCCGCUUUUUCCCUUAGCAUCUAAGGCACAUGCAUGCUCAUUUGCUUGGCUCAACUUCACCUAUCUUCCAUUUUUCAUCAAAAGGACAUGAAACAACAACCAUUUCCUUCAUUUUAAUUCAUGACCGAAUGCUCACAACACAACCAAAAAUCAAAAUAUGCUUCAUGAAUUAGGGUAGAAUCAAGAAGAACUCAUGAGCAUCAAGAUAGAAGCAAACUACCAUGAACUUACCUUGGAUUUUUCUUCCCCAAGUGACCGAACAUUCAAGAGCUCUUUUCCUCUCCUUUCUCUUCUAUUUUCAUCUUUCAUGAACAAGAAUGAACAAAAACCUUCCUUUUCUUCCUUUUUGUUAUUCUAUUACUAAACAUUUUAUGACACAAAAUAACAUAUAUUAUUUGUGCCAUACUUAUGCCAUAACUUCAAUAAAAAAAUUUGCACAUGUUGUCUACCAUUAAUACCAUGGCCAGCCACUACACAUAAAAUGGGGAGUUUGACAUGCAAAUCCUCCUAUUUUGCACUACUAUUUAUUAGGCCACUACAUAUUAGCCUAUAGCAUUUUCAAAAAUUUUCACAUAGGUCCUAUUUCAUAAUUUCACUCACAAAUGGCAGAAUCAAAGCAUGGGAUUUUCACACAUGCACUUUCACAUGAAAUAAACACAUAAUAUAACAUUUGAUUAUUUUUGGGACUCGGUUUUGUGAUCCCGAAACCACUUUUCGACUAGGGCCAAAUUAGGGCUGUCACAGUGUGUACCCGAAAACACAGAAAAUAAGAAUCGACGGAAGUUGAAAAAUGAAACUGUUGACGCCACAUAGGCAUGUGGUCGACCGUAUGGUAGGCCGUGUCGCAACACACGAGCGUGUGAUCAACGAGCCAGGCCAUGUGCGUAAGACACGAGCGCAUGACACGACCGCGUGAAGGUCGGUGAGGCCAUGUGUGACAUACGACCUAGACCUAUUGGGUCAUGUGGGCUACACGGGCAUGUGGGCCUACAUGGGUGAACCACACAAACGUGUGGGAUUCUAGGCCAGGCCAUGUGAUCCACACGGCCAAGGCCAAUUUAGGCCGUGUGGGCCACACAGGCGUAUGGGCCCACAUGGGCAGGCCACAUGAGCAUGUGAGCCCAUUUUUCUGAAAUAAUCUGUAAGGUUACACGGGUCACCCAAGUUGACUGUGGACCUACCGUAGGGUCGGUAAGCAUUAAAUAGACCCCUCAUUGAGUAUUCUGACUAUUUGAUUCUGUAGUGAGCAUGUACUGAAUGUAUGAUCUGAUAUAUUGCAUGAUAGCAUGUCAUUUUUGUAUGUUGCAUUGCAUUGGGGUUGGGAUAAAGACAUUUGGAGGAAGUGUUCUGAAAGGCUUUUAAGCCUGAUAUCUGGCAUUUCAGCUGCGAUUAUCUGUCAAUGUGCCGCAUUUCGGUACAGCAUGGUGUGUAAGGAUGGGUGGGCCGAUUUUAUCCCCACAUGGUAUGUAGGGUUGGACGAAGAUGGUGUGUAGAGGUUGGUGGGUAGGAUUCUGAUAUUUUGAUCUGCAUACUAUAUUUGAUUGGGCUGAGGCCCUAAUAUGUUUCUGACUCUAUAUCUGAGCUGGGCUAAGGCCUAACCGAUUUUGUAAAAGGGCUCCAGCCCUAGAUUGUUUGUUAUGACCCAUGAUGUGUAUUCUGUAUGUUUGUUAUCUGUAGGGAUUACACACUGAAUUGCGAAACUCACAUUUUUUUGUUUAAUCUGCAUAGGUAAUCCCUAGCAUUAGUGGAUCGGUGUAGUGGAGGACUCGACGAUGGCCACACGUAGUAACUUUAGACUAUUUCCAUUGGUUUUCUUUCUGGUUUUGGAUUACUUACUUAUUUGGGGUUUUGUUGUAAUUUUCAGACUUUGAACUUUUUGGCUUUUAAUUUCGGCUUUUGAACUGUUGAUGAUUUUAUAAAUGAUAAGCGCAACUAAAACCUAGUUUUCUCUAAAGCAAAUAGUUUUCCUAAAAUAGAAGAUUUUCUAAAGCUUCCGCGUAAAAGAGAUAUGUUUUAAAGCUAAUCAGUGAGAACACGUUUUUUGGAUUAAGUAAAAUAUAAUAACUGAAACUAUUUUAAUGUAUCAAUGUAUUUUAAAAAAAAAACCACUCACAUAUGACAUCUCCAAAUUCGGCCAUAACGUCCAGGUUGGGUUUGGGAUGUUACAGAUGUGAUGAAUCUAAUGAGGAACAUAAGAUUUAUGAGCUUGAAUGUAUGGAUAACAUGAAGUUUCAUGGUCAAAGUAUGAAACAUGAAUCUUGAGGUUAAAGGAUGCUUGUGUCUGGAUAAUAGAAAUGUGUUAAUGUGUCUGACAGGUCUGGAUGUGUCUGUUACAAGUACGUCAAGAUAUGAUGAGUUCAUGAAAAAUGGGUCAAAGUAUGAAGAGUCUAUGUCUAUCUCUAAAGUCGCCAAAGGGGCCAUUGGGAAUAAAAACACGAAUCUCUAAAAGGACAAGUCCAUGGUCAUAGUAUUGUAGGACCAUAUCUUGUAAGACCGUAACUGGUGGGUUAUGGUAUCAUAUGGGAAGAAGACUAUAUUGUGUAAGACUGUAACUAGUGGGUUAUGACAUCAUAUGGGAAAAAUACCAUAGCGUGUAAAACUAUAACUGGUGGGUUAUGACAUCAUAUGGGAAGAAGACCAUAUCAUAUAAGACCGUAACUGAUGGGUUAUGGCAUCAUAUAAGUAGAAGACCAUAUUGUGUAAAAUCGUAACUGGCAGGUUAUGGCAUCAUAUAGGAAGAACUAAAGGAAAGUUAUUACUUAACGUGGCUCUCGAUGUAUCCCAGGAUGAUGAAGGGCAAACCUCACGAAAUGUAAGUCUAGGCAAAUCCCCAUCACCAAAACACCAGAAAAAAAGAUGCCUUUGUGGUAAAACUCUAGACAGGAAAGCCUUUGUGGCAAGUAUUGGAUUUAAAGGACUGCCUUUGUGGUAAAACAUUGGAUAGGAAAGCAUUUGUGGCGAGUACUAGAUGUAAAGGAAAACCUUUGUGGCGGAACUUUAGAAAGGUAAGCCUUUGUGGCAACCUCUGUUUAAGAAUGCCUUUGUGGAAAAUAUCUAAAAGGAAACACCUUUGUGGCGAUCUCUAUCACAGGAAAGCCUCUGUGGCAAUCUCCAUAAAAGAAGCCUUUUUGGCUAUAUCUAAAAAAGAAAUGCCUUUGUGGUGCAACCUAAGGACAGGAUGCCUUGGUGGCAAUUCUAUAAAGGAAAGCCCUUGUGGCAAAUACAAAAGAAAUAUUUGUGGCUAUUUAAAUAAAAGGAAUGUCUUCACGGAAAAUUUUGAAUGAAUGACGUGUAAGGAAUUAGGAAAGAAUGACAUGAACAACUCCUUGAAGGCAGAGUAAAGAUAGAACUCUUAAGGUAUGGUAAGUGUAAGAGAUAAUGAACUGACAAGUAGAAAGAACUAAGUAUCCAAUGAAUUCUAAAAGAAAGGCUCUGUAUGUAAUGAAAAGGCGAACCUCACAUAAUAACAAGAAAAGAAUAGUGAAGCUAGAGCACACUAAAAUAGGUGGAAAAUCUAGGAUAUGUGUUAUAGGCAUGUAUGGAUAGCACCUUGAAGUAAAAAAGAUCUAGGCGAACUUUGUAUUAAGUAAUGGGUGUAGUCAAUCUCACCCGAAGGAAGUGAAAAAAUCAGUAAGUAUGAAAUGAGAUUUUAAGUUUGUUAAUAAGGUAAAUGAAAUGGCUAAUGACUAUGUAAAGAUAAGAUUUAAGAAAGUGCAUAGAAAGUGAAAAGAUUUUAAGUAUAGUAGCUCAAAGGAAAGAAAUAAUAUUUUGAGUUUGGACCCCGAAUUUGGAGCUUAAAAGAGCGAGGGCUUAAUGAAUAUGAAAGGAAGAUAAGCCCUUAAAGGAACUAUGAGGAAGAAAAAGUUCUAAAAUAAAAAGGAGUAAUUACAAUCUGUUAAAGGAAAUCUUUCUGACAAAGGGAAUAAGGUAAAGUCUAAGGAAAUAUGUAGGACGUGCGAAGCGUCAAUGACACUUAGGUGUGAUGAAUCAUGUAUUUAAAGUUUAACUCGUUAAGUUCUUUUGAACUUAUGAAGGUUAUUUUAUGUUUCAGAUUACAAAGAAAUAUUCCCCAAGAGGGACGACGCCAGGGUUACACUAAAAGGAAGUGGCAAAAUGGGUUGUUAUGCAUACAGAGGAAGUUAAGUGGCGAGUUCAAGUUAGAGCAUAAGUUGUUUCAGUAAUGUACCAAUGUGUCUAUAGUAUACUGAGAGAUAAAAUAGAGAAUACUAAAAUUUUAUUAUCAUAAACUGUAAAUGUAACCAUAGAAUGUACGCCCAUAAGAAAUUCUUUCACAAUCAUAGAUAGAAUCUUUACAUAGGCAAAAAGCUUAAUUUACAUCUGUUAUAGGACGCAACACCUAAUGCUCAGAUUCGAUUCAUCGGGUUGUGUGGAAGGCGUUACAUAAUUGACCUUUAACAUCAAAAUUUUCACCUUCCAAAGGUAUCCGACAAGGAACCCUCUGAGUCCUUAUCUCUUUUUGUCAGGAAUGGAGAGGCUUGGGUACUAUAUUUUAAUAGCAAUUAGAAAUAGGAAAUGAAGGUUUAUUCAUCUUUCCAAAUUGGGUCAUGAUCUGCCACUUUUUUUUUUUCAAUGGAUGAUCUAAUCCUCUUUCUAGAAGUGGGUAUGGAGCAAGCCAUGGUUGUUAAGGAUAUCCUUGAUCUGUUUACUACUCACUCAAGUCAUAAAAUUAAUUAUCAAAAAACUUAGUUAUUCUUCUCACUACAUACAAGAAUUAGUACUCAGAAUAUCAUUACUUAAGCAUUAGGGUUAAAAAAGAUUGAUGAUUUGAGAAUUCAUCUUCGUAUACCUCUAUCUCAUAAAAGAGUUAAGUUGAGCACCUUUCAAUUCAUUGUUGAUAAGGUGAGAAACCAUCUAAGUAGGUGGAAUGCUAAUUCCUUAUCUUUGUUUAGCCAUAUAACCUUGGUUAAAUCAGUCCUAAUUCCAUUCCCAACUAUUUUAUACAAGUUCCCAUGAUACCAACUAGUAUUUGCAAAUAGAUUGAGCAGCUUUUUGGGAUUUCAUUUGAGGUACUUCGGGCAAUUAGAGGAAGAUAGAUCUUGUCAAAUAGAACGAAGUCUACUGAUUAAUUACUAAUGGAGGGCUCAGAAUUUGAUGGUUGAAACACCGAAAUAUGUCUUUCCUUAUGAAGUUAGGCAUUCAAUUGCAAUGUUGUUUAAAUCGAAUUGAAUCGACUAGUCAAAUUGGUUGAAUCAAGAACUGGUCAGUACAUCAAUCCGAAGAUAGUCAUUAAUUCAUUGGAAUCGUGAACCAUUUUGAAUUUUUAUUAAAUCUUCAAUCAUGAAUUGGAUAAAUUUGAAAAUGAAGUGGUUUUUACAAUUUUUAGGGUCAUUUUCGUUUAUCCCAAAUUGGAAAAAAAAAACCAAAUCCAACCUACCCCAAAAUUAACACCUAGCCUUUACCCAUCUUAAAACCAAUAUAAAAAUAACUUAACAAACCUUAUCUAAGUAGUGUGAAAUCAAUAAACUGAGCAAUCAGAAGCUUUCUCCAUUUUUUUAGAGUGGUUUAGGAAAAAAUAAGAAGAAUAGAAAGAAGAUGAACGGUGAAACCACAAUAAUCUUUAUAUUUUUAUAUUUUGAAAGAUUUAAAAAAUUAAGUACAUAAUGAAACUUUUGGAUUCAUCAUUGAUAAAGAAAUUGGGUGAAAAAAUGAAUAGAUACAAAAGAAAGAAAAAGAAUAGAUUAAGAAAAAACCAAUUUGGAGAAAAGGAGAAUGAAGAAGAGUUUAAAGUUGAACUUGAAACAUUAAAGACUUGAAAGAAUACACAAUUAAAGAUGGAAAUAAUUUUUUACUAUUAAAAUUGAUAGUCUUUAAUUGAGUUAGAAAUUAAAAAUUUGAAGUAAAUUGAUUGAUUUGAAAAUUAAAAUGCAUGAGAAUUGAGAAAAGCUUGCACCAGAAACAAGGAAUGAAAAACAUUAACAUAAAAAAGAAUGGGAUUUUAAAUUUAUUUAAAACCAUAUUACAUUAGUUUUUUUUUUGAACCAGUCAAACCAAAAUCAAUGGUUUGACCGGUUUGGUCACUAUUCUGAUUCUAAAAGCAUUGUUCAUGUAACACCCUCUACCUAACCCGAAUCAUCAGAUUCGAAUAUCGGAUGUUACAACAUAUAAACACUUAGAAAACAUUUUACAACUGAUGUAUAACCAUUUUUAAAACAUACUUCUUAUUAUUUUAUUAACUAUCUUCAGAACAAAAAUUAAAUAAAGAAAAUAUUUAAGAAUACAAUAGAUUUUCAAAGCAGCAUAAGACAUUACAACUCAAAACUUUACUAAAGACUAACAGUAUGUUUGGUUCACUGUAAUUGAAUAAGACUGUAAUUGAAUAGAGCUGUAAUGGAAUAGAGCUGUAAUCAGUAAUUCAACUGUUUGCUUGAAUGGAAUGGAAUAGAACUGUAAUAGUAUUCUUGUGUUUGGUUGAAUGGAAUGAUGUUGGAAUAGCAUAAGGAAAAAAAACUAAAAUGACCAGAAUACCCUUAACAAAAAUUUUUGUAGGUAGAUGAUUAUUGUUAUUGUUAUUAAAUUUUAAUAAAAUUAUUAUUAAAAAUAAUUUAAUAAAAAUAAUAAAUAAUUUAACCAUAUUUUAACAUAAUUAUUAUUAAAUAUAACUUAAUAAAAUAAUAUAUAAUUUAAUAAAAUUCUUAAUAUAAUUAUUAUUAUAAAAAUUAAAAAAUCAUAACUAUUAUUAUGUUUUUAUCCGUUUUUUGUGUCGUUUGUAUAUUUUUUCUGCCCUCCCUUAAUUAUGUGUCAUUUGAUUAGCAUUCAUAUUGUUACAAGAGAAAGAAUGUGAAUUGUCGAGAUUGUAGGUGAACGUAAAUUGCAUAGAGUGUGUUUAUAUUUGUAUUUAAUAGUGAAAAAAGAUUAUGAACAAUUCCAUAAGAUAUAUUCACAUAAUUUAUUACUAAUAAAUCCCAACCAAAAUAACUGAAAUUGAAAUUCAGCAACAACAUGGAGGCCAUGAUUGUUUUGGUCAAAUAGUCAUAGCCCAAAUACAAAAUAUAAUGAACAAAUUCACAUGCAUGUAGAAAGAUCAUUAGCUACUGGUCAAAUACAAAAUAUAAUGACAGUUUUGGUCAAAUAGUCAUAGCCCAAAUACAAAAUACAAAAUAAUACUAAUUAUCACCAUAGGAUCUUUAGCAGCAGAAAGAUCAUUAUCUACUGGACCUUUUUGUUUAGCUAAACUUCUAGAAUUUGCAAUCAGGCCAGAAUGCCUCCUGUGUGUAGGAUCUGCUGAAGACCAACCAGAAGGUCUGGUCUCUUCACCUGUGGAAAAUCUACCAUAUCAUCAUGUUGCUCCAGAUAAACCACGGGGCAUUAUCUAAAAAUACUAUGUGACUGAAUAUACAUAAAUAAAAGAAAUAAUCAAGUAAAAAAUAAACUAUUGCAAUAUAUGAUCAGACAAAAUUAGAAGCAAGAAAAAUAGAACAUGCUUGACUGACUAUCAGCAAUUGCACCUACAGUAGGUAAGUUAGAGCUAGUUCCAGCACCAGGGCCCUGGAAAACAUUUAAAAAUGCAACAUACAAUCAAUAAAAACUAGUCAAAGGUGGUGCAAAGUGGAUUAUUACCCUUAGAGCUCUCUUCUUCAGCUUGUACAUUAUAGAAAAUUGUUUGACCCUAGCUUUCACAGUCUCACCCAACAGAACGUUGGGUGCUUUCUUGGCAUUUUGUAGCCAUGGAUGUUCUGCAUACAAUAGUUGGGAUUAUUUUUCAUGCAUAGAAAAUAUAUAUCAAUAUAAAUAAAUCAUACAACAUUUACAGAAGGUUACCAAGCACUUCCUGUACUGUAAGAUGCUGCUUUGGAUCAGGAUUAAGCAUUUUCUUUACAAGGUCCUUUGCAUUGUCCGAAACCUUAGGCCAUGGGUCCCUCUUAAAGUCAAUAGCAGAGCGAAUAAUUUCUUGUGUCACUUGAAUCAACAACAUAAAUUAUUGCUUGUGUAUUUGGGAAAUAGCAUCUCCAAUAUGCCCUGUAAAAGAUGCAGAUUAAAAAGAAAAGUGGAAGACUAGUGUUAGAGGGUGGUGAAGUCAAUCGGCGUGUUCAACAAGCAGCAAAUUGCCCGAUGAAAGGACUAAAAUCAUCACAAAGAAAGUAAAUUGGAGAUGAAAAAUUUCAAAAAACAAAACUCCUUGAGUAAAUAAAUGAAAAAUGAUGAAUCUUCUUUCAUCUCACCUUAUUGUCCAGCUAAAGAGCAGCCAAAAAAACCCACAAGAUGUCCCCAUAUCAGAAUUAAAUAAAUAGAAGAAGCAAAGUAACUUAGAGGUUGCAUCUCCAUUAGUUAGAAGACACACCACAACAGUUAAAGCUACUUUAACAAACCAAUUUAAAACCUCAUCUAUUCCAAAAGUAUUAAGAUGUUUCCUUGAGACCACAUAGCUUAAAAACAAGUACCUGAUGCUUAUCUGACCACCUGCAAAAAAAAAAAACUACAUUUGAUUUAAACUAGAACAAAGAGUUAAAUGAAUGUUACAACUUUAUAGAAUCUCACAGCUGAUAAGCAAAAUGGAGCUACAUGUUUAAACUCAACAACUGAAACAAUUUCUCUGUAAAUUCAAGCCACAAAAGUUUCUGCUGAUAUAAUUUUAUACAAUUCAAACUGUAACUAAAAUUCCCAAAGGCCUUGUGGCAAAUGCCAAAGCAAGCAGGCCAACCAGAUAACUAUAGGAUCAAAAAUGAAAUUCAAUGAUUGUAUUUUAAGUAAAAGGAUUAUUGUAAAUUUCAAUGAUUCAAUAAAUUAAAUUGAACUCCAUUUGUAUAAACUACAUUAGCUGCUAUUUCAGAUUUAUUAACGUUAACUUACCUAAAUCUCAUACUUGAAACUUGAUGUUGUUGUAUUGUACAGUCUUUACAUUAAACCCAAUCGCUCCAAAAAAGAGUUCAAAAAAAUGGCGCAUCGAAGCUGUUAGUCAUUUAGAAAAAACAAUGAAGACCCAAAACAAGAAUGAUAAAGAAGAAUUGAGAGAGUAGCCUACAAAGGCAAACCUACUUGGAAUUGUAGAGACUACCCCACCCAUCUGAAGUCGAUCUGUUGGAAGAUGAUCAAAAUAAUAAUUAAAAAAAUGGAAUAUGACCCUAACCUGAGAAGGCGAAAGCGUCGAGGGCGAAGGCGUUGAUAGAGCUUCAGAUGUGAGGAAGGGUAAAGUUAGUGAAGAGGCAGGAAGGAAAUGGGAAAAAGAAAGAAAAAAAAAAGGUUUCAGACGUGAGGAAGGGAGAAGGGUAAAGUUGAAACUGAGACGUGAGGAAUGGCUAUUCUAUGGGUAGGGUGUUGAAUGCUAUUUAGUGUGAUUAGUGGGAAUAGAGGAGGGAUUGAAAGAGGCUGUAAUAGGCAUUACAACCAAACAUUGGUUUGGUGGUGGGCCCAUUGAAUUGGGGCGUAAUCUAUUCCUAUUAUACCCAACCAAAUAUAAUGUAAUUCUUUAUCGCGUAGUAUACUAAGCGUCAUACUCCUAUAGUGCUCUUUGUAUACAUAAUAUUGCAACUCGAACUACCACCCUGGCACAAUCCUAGCUUGGUCCCUCAUGGCGUACUCACUCUUAAAGCGAACAGCAUAAACGAACAUUUGUAAGUUGACACAAACUUAGUGAGUUUUAACCCAAAUUACCUUGAAGCAUUUCAUGUUGAAUUCAUCUUAAAGACUUUUGAUUUCCUUUCUUUCUUUGGUGGAUACUUUCUUAAUAUUAAGCGUAUACAUAUACUCCAACUUCCAUACUUAACCAUCCUACACACAAUUCACUCAUUAAACAGAUUCCAAACUUCACCACCUAAUACAGAUCUUAUUUUUUUUUGAAAACAACUACACUUCUCAAAAGGAUAUCCAUACAGAACCUACCUUCAACGGUUUCUCACUCAGUUGGAUGUUGAAUACCUUCCCCAAGAUGGUGUACUCAUAGAUACUAUUCUUAGCAGUUACUUAUAUUAACUAAUCUUUUAAGAUGAACUUCAUACAGAUCCUACAUUUGCCAGAUUCUCAUACUGAAUUGGCAACUAUCAAAUUACCAAUCAGAUCAGAUCACAACUUAUUCUGAUGGACAAAAUCUUCUAAGUCAUCCCGUGAAAUCCCAGACAACCAUGUUACAUAUAUGAGAACGCUCUGAUUUGACGGACAACUUUUACUUUAGAUAACAUUUUUAUAUACAGCAUGAAACACUCAAAUUUGGCAGAUACCAUAUAAUUUAUAUUACUUCCUUACAUAAUGUAAACAAAUUCAGAUCUGGCAAACUCUUAGACUACUCAUAUUUACGAAUAUGCCAAAUUACUUGUACUGACAGACUACUAUGGUGGAUUCACCUUUCAGAAAUACUGUUGUGAACUUUUCAGGAAACACCUUUAAGUCAUAUUCAAUUUCAUCACAAGGCUAUCCAAAUAGAGAUGUUUUCAAACUUACUCAAAUCUCUACCACAAAGUUAUCAAGUGAAGAAGUCUCUAAACUUAUCCUAAUUUUGCCUCAAAGGCAAUUAUCCAAAUCUUACCUCAAGGGCAUCAUAGAAUACGCCACACAAGUAUCACAGAAUAGGCUAGAAAGGCUUUAUAGAAUAUGCCACAAAGUGUUUACAGAAUACGCCACAAAAGCUUUACAAAAUGUUAUGUGUUUACUGUCUCGGUGGACUAUCUCAGAGGGUGUCAUGGGUUUCUCCUUCAUGGUCUUGUACAUAUUUUCAUACCAUGCUCUACUUGUCUGAUUUAUAUAUUACCGGAGGCAAAACCAUGAGUAUUCUCAUUAUCAUAUAAUGCCAUGGAUCUCUACCACAUGGUCUUACACACAUUUUCAUAAAAUGAUCUAUCAGCCCGGUUAGCAAUGUACUUGCCCUACUGGAAGCAUCACAAAUGGUUGUGUUACUCACUUAACAUGAAAUGCACUUACCCAAAUUCGUUCACACUUCUGACGAACUCAUAUUCUUUCAUAUAUGAUUUCAUAAGCAUAUAUACCACACAUCAUCUUAAUCAUGCAGCAAAUCAUAUAUAUCAUUUGUAAUUAUGCAGAACCUUUAUGAUAAUUCACACACAUACAUUCACCAACUAUCUGAGAAGACAUCAAUAUCUACCAUUAUAAACUAACAUGCAAGAGUCAGGACAAAGACUCACAUGAUACUCACCUUUACUGUAGCUCGGAGUUCCAAAUCCAAUUAUCCUUCCUGAACCAGCAGCAGCACUAGAAGGUUGAAACAUCCAUCGAUUAACCCAAAAACCUUAACUUCUAGGUUAACGAAAAGGAAAAGAAUGUUUAGAUCUAAGAAGAACUAGAGGGUGGAAUAGAAAGAAGAAAAACCAUCCCUAUGUUCUCUUUUUACCGUAUCUAUAUACCCAACUUCUCUUAGUAGAUCUUAACAAGUGGUCAUAUUUACUAAAAUUAUACUUUGUUUUCCAUACUAAAAAUUUGGGGCAAGUAAAGAAAAUCUGAUGAAGUUGACGUUUAAAGAUAAGCCAAUCAAAAAGAGAGUCAAAACAGUCCAAUUAACCAUCAACUAAUCCCAUUAUGAGAACUAACUAUAACAGUGUUCAUGCAAAUCGGGCUUAUUACACCUUGGCGGUGACUUGUGUAUAGUGUGGUCUUAAAGACACUUUGCCCCUUACAACUUUCUCAUAUACUUAGUAGGCACUUUAUGUUCAACCAAAACUCUGAGGUGUAUCUUUCAUUUGCUUACUCUUUCUUGAAUUGAAUAAUACCCCUAAAUGAAAUCCUUGGAUACUUCUACGGGCGAAUACUUUAUAUCCUAACUUUAGUUUGCCAAAAGCUUGUAAAAUGACGGACUAUGCUACCAUAGUGUGCCAAAAUAGGUAACCUUUUUCACCUUUUUGUUAAAUCAGUCUAAUUUGGGAUGUGACAGUUCAAUUGUUAACCAAUACAUAAGCACUUUGGGUUCAAGACCUUCGAAGAAAAUAUCACAUUAUAGAACAUAGGCUAGACAACAUUGCGCAAGCUAAUAGCUCAUUUGUAUGGUGUUCCUUUGUAUUUGAAGAAAUACUAUUUGGCAGGUGGGCGAUGGUAAACAGUCAAAUUUUGGUUAAGUGUUUUGAUUUCGGAUCUUGGUCCUCUUUGGAAUUAUAAGUACUCUUCCACAGGAAUUAAUCAAAAUGCUUUGGUUAAUGAGAUGACAACUUGAUAUGGGAAAUGAGAUUGGGGGAAUCUCUCUUUAUGGCUUGGUUAUAUUAUGUUGCUUCGCAUAUGUACCUUCGUCCCUUCGAGAUUAAAUGGGGGCAAAGACAUGAUAACUUGGAAAAGGACGGUUAGUGGUCAAUUUUUAGUUUCUGAUGCUUAUGUUGCCAUUGCAAUUCAGAAUUGGAUGCCAUUAAUAGUUGUUGGAAAGUUCUUUGGAAGCUUUAAUGUCCACAAAAAGUUAAGAGUUUCCUUUGGCUUCUUGUGAAGAACUGACUCUUAACUAAUACGAAGAGAUGUAACAAGGGAAUCGCCAUCAAUGCCUCUUCUCACCUAUGUGGGGAAGUUCAAGAGAGUUCUAUUCAUGCAAUGAGGGGUGGCUCAGGCCUGAUACACGCGUGGAAAACCUUGGUGCCUCCUUAUCUUCAAGUCAAUUUCUUUGCCUCAAAUUUGGUGGAUUGAGGGAUGGCUAAUUUGAAUAUGUCCACUACCUAUGUUUCUAGUAAUGCCUAUUGGAACACUCUCUUUGGAAAUGUAUGUUGGAUGUUCUGGAAGAAGCAUAAUUCCAUGGUGUUUAACGAUUAUGGUAUUGACUCUAGCAAUAUACUUAGUACUUGCAUUAGUUGGACUCAAGACUAUAAAGACAAUAGACUAAGGGGUGGUUUGAGAAUCUUGAAUGUUUGAAAACAGUUUGGUUGGAAACCACAACCAAUUGCUUAGUACUUUCAAUCCUUGCCAUCACUUGGUGUUUAUUGUUUUGUAUUUGUACUUGAACUGCCACAAACCUUGGGUAGUAGGAAAUAUUGAGGAUAGCAAGGUAGGUGAUGGUAUUGCUUGAUUCAUGGUGGUGUUAGCUAAAAUAUGUUUGUGUUGUGCGACAACUUUUUCUAAAGAUUAUUGUAAUCAUUUUUUGAAUUAGAAAUAAGACUUAAUAGAAUAGGAGACCUUUAAAUUAUAUCUUUUGUUUGAGUUAGUAUCUAAAUUAGUUUUUGUUCAAAUCAAGUAUCUAAAUUUUGAAUUGCGAACCAUUUUGAAUCGUUAUGAAAUUGUCAACUAUAAAUUGGAUAAAUCGGUAAAUGAACCGAUUUUUACAAUUUUUGUGUCAUUUUCUUCUAGCCCAAACUAGAAAAAACCACAACCAAAUCCAAUCAGCCCUAAAAAAUAACACCCAGCCUUUACCCAGAUUAAAACCAAUAUAAAAAGGAACUUAAAAUAACCCUAAUCUAAGCAGUGUGAAAUAAAAAAAAACUGAGCAAUCAAAAGCUUUCUCCAUACUUUUUAAAGUGAUUUAGAAGAAAUAAGAAGAAUAAAAACAAGAUGAACGGAGAAACAAUAACAAUCUUCAUAUUUUUAUAUUUUAAAAGAAAUGAAAAAAUAUGUACAUAAUGAAACUUUUAAAUUCAUCAUAGAUAAAUAAAAUGGGUGGAAAAAAAAAAGAUGAAUGAAUACAAAAGAAAGAAUAAGAAUAGAUUAAGAAAAAAAAACCAAUUUGGAGAAAAGGAAAAUGAAGAAGAGUUGAAAGUUGAACUUCAAACUUUAAAGACUCGAAAGAAUAAGAAUUAAAGAUAGAGAGAAUUUUUAAGUAUUAAAAAUUGAUAGUCUUUACUUGAGUUAGAAAUUGAAAUUUUGAAGUAAAUUGAUUGAUUUGAAAAUUAAAUUGCAUAAGAAUUGAGAAAGCUUGCACCGGAAACAAGGAAUAAAAAGCAUUAAGAUAAAAAAAAGAAUGGGAUUUUAAAUUUAUCUAAAAAAAUUAUAUUAGAGUUUUCUUUUUAAUUUUUUAACCGGUCGAAAUGGUCGAACUAAAAACCAAUGGUUUGAUCACAAUUCUGAUUCUAAAAAAAUCAAUGGUUUGAUCACAAUUCUGAUUCUAAAAACAUUAUUGAACUGUUAACCAAUACAAAAGCACUCUGGGUUCAAGUCCUUCGAAGCAAAUAUCACAUUAUGGAACGGACAGCAUUGCGCAGGCUAACAGCUCUGGCGUUCCCUUGCAAGAGUUUGGGAAGAUAUUUGCAGAAAUAUUAUCUGGCAGGUGGGCGACAGUCAAACAGUCGAACUUUAGUUAGAUAUUUCUAAUGCUUACGUGGCAAUUCCCUUAAUAAUCAUGCCAGCACGAUCAUAUUCGACUUGCCUCCUUUGCCCCAAGAGAAGCUCUGCAUUGCCAUACUUUUCCAUUUCCAUAAUGGUAUCCUUAGUCUUUCAUUUCACCUUCUCUUUAAUGACCUUAUAAUUCCUAAAGAGGAGUUCAGCUUGGGAUGGAGCAGCCUGCAUAUGAAUAUCUUGACCUUUAUCAAAUGCUUCCUAUGCAUGAAUAUUGAGCUGCUUGAACUCCAAUGCUUGCCCACCCAUUCUAUAUUGAUUAUCACCCUGCAAGAUAACAAAUAAACAAGUCAGAAUUCAUUAUUUAAUCAACUUUAUGGCAUAUAGAUAUGAAAGCAAUUAAAGGAAAAAAUUCUGCACGAUACUCACUCCAUACAACUCAUUAGGAUCAGCAUCAGGAAGAGGAUCUUCAUGCAUCGAUCGAGUUUUGGGAUCAUAAUAAGCAGAAUUGACAUCAAGAUUCAAAAGAUAUUUCGCUGUCUUCCCAAAUACACAAAUUCCUAAAAGGAAAAGGCAAAUAUGAAAUAAGAAUACUUGUUUUAUGUUGCAGGGAAGAAAUGUUCUUUAGAAACCAAAAUAAGUAAAAAUAAUACAUAAAAAAUAAGAUACAAUUGAGGAAAGGUAUAAUAAAUGUACCUGACAGUUCCCAUGCUCCCUCCAGCAGUGGUACGAACACGUUUCGCAAGCUUAGCAAAGUCCAUUUGUUUGCUCUCAUCAAUCUUAGCUUCAUCAACCGUUCAGAGCAUCAUCUUCGUCACUAACCUCUCCUCCCUAUCCCUCAUUUUUACUAUUUUUCUCCUCCAACUUUUUCAGCUGCUGUUUUUUCAGAUACUUCCUUCUAGCCUCAACCCUUGCCUCAUACCUUUCAAUUACGCGAGCAUCUGUAGAUGCAUCAUAACGAUUCCAUGUAUCACACUUGCCAUCAUAAUCCUGCUCGAAAGUCUCUAUCUUCUCAUCGGGUGCAAUGCGCAUGUUCGUCCAUUUUGCAAGCUUUUUACGAGGCCUCUCUAUGCAUGAUUUUGCAUCAUGUGUCAUGGCUCCACAGCUACAACAAACAAUAAAAAGGGAAUAAAAAAUUAUGAAUUGUGGCAUGAUAAGAGUUUAAAGCACAAAGGACACAAACUCGUUUCACCAUCUAAACUAAAACUAUUUAAUCCCAUAUAACAAGUAUAGAGUGCAUAAGCUACAGAACGUUCAACUCGAUCAAUUAAUAAGUAUCUUCCAUGAUUCAUACCAUUGUGUUUGAAAGAAAACAUGAAUUUCAUUAGCCAACAUAACCCAGCUAUUGUCUGAUGUGGCAGCAAAAAGUUCUAUCAUUGGAAUCUAUCCCUAUAUGGUUAGCUACAAAAAUGCCUAAAUGACUUCUAUCUCAAUAUGUCAACAAAUAGGCUCGUCACUUAUUAGAGAGGAAUGCCAUUACUAGUACAACUAAACAUCUAUUGCAUCACUUCCGAAUAAAUAGUUAGAUACGGAACAUAUAAAAAAAGGAAUUACAACCUUAUUCUUGUUUGCUAAACAGAAAAUUUCAAAGAAACAGCAAGAGGAAGUACAUUAGCUUUAAGUCAUAUUGCACGACAUUUUAACCUACAAUUUUAGCUUCACAUUAACCAAGAAUCCAUCUUAUUAACCAGAAUUUUAAUCCCCUUUUCUACCCCCGAAAUGAUUAUAUCAACCAGUGCGAUCUAAAAUCUAAAAAACCCAUUAAAACACGAAACAAGGCAUUCAUAGACACACCAACAAGUAGGGUGCACAAUAAUAGAUAAAAGAAAAAGAGGUUCGCUUACUUCUCGCAGGCUCCUUUCGAUAUUUUUCAGCUUGAAAUAUCUUCGCGCCUCUAUCGUACCAAGAUUUGGUAUAAUUAGGAUCGGAUCUCCACUUCCGUUGAUGCUUCAAACUAGGUCUUUCAGCGUUAAAAUACCAUGGUGCUGAUGAUAUAUACUGAGGAAUAUGAGGGUUAAUUUCUUUUCCAUCCUCGUCAAACUCAGCCGGCGCAAGCCCCCCUUUCGAGCUUCCUCUAAUUCCAGCUAUUUCCGGUGAUCCUCCCUUGAUUUAAAAGCCACUGAAAUUCCAAAACAAUUACAGAUAAAAUUUAAAAAUCUCUCUUCCGGCAUCGAAAGAAAUCGGAAGGAAGAAAUUGGGGGAAAAGGAAUAGAGAACGUACCUGAUGCAAUAGCCAUGUUGAAUCAAUAAAAUAAAAUUAGGGUUUUGAAGAUGAAAUUUCACAAAUUGAUAGAAGAAUAUGUAAAUACGGAAUCGAAGAACCCUAAUGAAGUCUAUUGCGUUGCGGAUUUUGCUAGUUUUUCCUUUUGAUGUGGGUUGAUUCUAAGAUUGAAAUUUAACACAUGAGCAGUCCGGUUAGAUGGAUAAAUAAUAAUAAUUUCAUCCAAAUGAUUAUUACUUUCUAAGUUUUUUUAGUUUUUUUAAUUAAUAACUUUUUAUUUAUAAUAUUAAAUAAUAAAUAUGUAAUUAUAUAAUAAAUAUUUGAAAUUAAUAAGUUAUUUAUUUAUAUAAAUAAAUUAAUAAUUACAUAAUAAAAAUAUUUUUUAUAUUUAUUCUUAUGUUAAAUAUAUUUUAUUUUUUAAAAACAUCAAUUAAUUUUUUAUAUUUUUCUUUAUAUAUAAUAGCUAUAUAUAUUAAUAUUUAUUUUCUCCACUUAUAUUGUAGUUAUAGUGAUUUCUAAUAUUAUAAAAUAAAAUAAUUAUUUUAAAUAUAAUUAUUAUGUUUAUAUGUAAAAUAUUUCAAAUAUCAUUGUUUUUUCAUCUAAUUUGUGGGUAUAAUAUUUCAAAUAUUCAGCUGACAAGAAGACCUCCAUUUCAAUACUGACAAUGAUAUCGCGAUAUCCAGAGUUGGAUAUCGCAAUAUCAUUGUCUGGAUAUCGCAAUAUCAUUGUCUGGAUAUCGCAAUAUCAUUGUCAUCAAGGGACAAAAAAUGACAGCAUAGGCAAUGUUUGUCCAAUCGAAACACCAACCAGGAGAGGUCCGAUCAAGGGCAUUUUGGUCAGAAUUUGCUACUAAAUCAACCAAAAUUGGUUGAGGAAAGAGGAGGCCACACAUACGAUAGUUUGUGCUUUAGUUUUCUUAAGUUUUCUCUUGUUCUUUUCCAGGGCUAAAUCAUCAAUUUCUAAUUCUUUUGACUCAAAAUAUAGUUUUUCAGCAGGUACAUCGUCAACGAUAAAAGCAAGUCCAAUAAUAUUUGUCACAAAUUCAUUAGUAGAAGAUGGAUUAAUAUCAAUUUCAGAAACAUGAUUUUCAAUAAGAUUCUCAAUAAGAGUAGAAUCGGAUAUAACUUGUUGAAUUGUAGCUUAAAUUAGGGAAACUAUUUUCUCUUUUAGCAUUGGUUCAUGUUCAACAACAAAGGGAUUGCAAAGAUUUCAACAAUCUCAGUAGCAAUCAUUUUGAUUUUUAAAAAAAAAAAGGCUUGUCUUUUGGAUUAGGGCUUGACUUCUCAUGAUUAUCUAGUUCGACAACAAGCACAUCGGUAUCCUCAACCAUAGUUAUAGCCUGAGCAGUGACACCUUAUAUCCGACUCAAUUGUUGAAUCCGAAUAUAAAAUGUCACAUUUUGUUGUCAAAGCAACUGACAUUUCCUUUUUUUUUUGAAAAGGAAACAUAGUGGUAAAAUUAAUUUAUAAAAAUUUCAGCAGUAUUUCUACCUAUUUUACUUAAAACCUCCUACAAAAAAAAUUUAGAUUUCACAAUAUAAUCACAUUCAAUUCAUCUCCCAAAUCAAUCGCCCAUACUUCGAUUUCUCAAAACAUACCAAUAAACUAGAUUUCUACGCUUUACUAUUUCAUCCAAAACAUUAGUUAUAAAGUACUAGCAAAGAAAACAUAAUGAAAAUAUUUAAAUUCAGUUUACGACAUAAUAUUAUAUAUAUAUAUACAAGCUUAGGUACAUGCCAUUUACAUUAACUAUAAAGUAAACUCUUCACCAACAUUGUUUGAGCUGAACUUCGGUUCUUCGGAUGCUGCUGGAAUGAUCUAGCGAAUCUAACCACCUGCGCACAGAAAAAUAGACAAACCGUAUGCUGAGCAAUUUUUAUGCUUAGUGAUACUAAUAUCAUAUAAAUCAUUACAUAAAUAUUGAACACAAAGUAAUUGAUAGAAAUAAACUAAAAGAUGAUUAUAAAUAUCAUUAAUAACAUCACAAUAAAAGAAAAUUCUAAUAUUAAUAAACUUUAAUAUUUUGAUAUUGACAAAUUAAGUAAAGAAAAUAAGCUUUUUAAUUAAAUUCAAAAUAGUGUAAUUAAUUUAAUUUGCACAAUAUGGAAAUUCAAAUAAAUUCAAGUUUUGUUUUUGCUUACCUUUUAAUUUAGAUCUCAUACUAAAGUUUAGACUUAUAACUAGAUAAACGAAUUCGUCACCUCGAGUUGUUAGGCAAUGAUGGCUAUCAAAGUAGUCCACGACCCUCUGGUAAUUGAGGCUGCCUACGAUCCUCUGGGAAUUGGGGCUAAUAAUAAUAAAAUCUGACCAAUUUGGUCUUUCCUCCUUCGACCCUCUAGGAAUUAGACAGUUCUAAAUCCUCAAAUAUAAAGACUCUAUGGCAUGCCAAUUAUAUCUGAUUUACUCUAACAUAGUGUAACGGGGUAAAAAUCAAGUUCCCUGAUCUGUUUCAAUUCAAUUCCAUUUUCAUAUCAUUCUCAUUUCAAUUUCAUUUCAUGUUCAAAUCAUAUAUCCCUAAUAAACCAUUAAUGUAACAUGUUUUAAUCCUAUGCUUGGCAUGUUUUUGGGUGAUUUAUUACAUAAAUUAGUGAAUUCGGUGCUCUUAAUCCUUUAAUUUUAUGUUUUAUACUUAGAAGAGCAUGGGGGAACAUAAGAAGCAGAAAAUGGGCCAAAAAUGGACAAAACGGCUGAUUUAAAUAUCCACAUGGCCAAGACCAUUUCCACACGGGCUGAGCACACGCUCGUGUGAGCCACACGGGCUAGCCACACACCCAUGUGGCAGCCCGUGUUGAUAUCGCUCCCUAUUUCCCAAAUACGCAGAAAAAUCCAAUUUUUAGGGUUUUUGAGCAUUCUAAAAUCUAUAUAACACUAGAAGUAGACCUAAGGGGGACACACAGAGUAGAAAGCAGAAAUUACUCGAAGGAAGCCGUUGGAAUCAUCUCGGACGCAGAUCCACUUCAAGAUUGAAUAUCUCCAUUCAAAUUUCUCUCUAAGUUUAUUUGGGUUUUUUAUGUCUUGUUAAUUUUCUAAAAUUUAGAUGUUUUCCUUUUACAUUAUGAGCUAAACUCCCUCAAUACCUAGGGAGGAUGAAACCUACAAUGGAUCUUAUUACUUAAUUAUCUGAAUUACUUGAUAAAUACUUGUUCUUGUUCUUAAUUAUGUGUUCUUAAUCCUUGCCUUAAUAUUUUCAAGAUAUUAAUCCAAGUUUAAUUUGCUUAUUCAGUGGAGCAAAAGUCCUUGUUUAAGAGUAGAUCUAGCAUAAUUAAGCGGAGUUGCAUGCAAUCCUAGAAAUAGGACAAUAUAAAUCUGCCGGAUUAGAGUCAAAUCUAAUAGGGGAAUCCAUAAAUUGAGUUUAUGCGACGAUAAGGGUUUUAAUUAGAAAGAGAUUUCAAUUAAUCAACCUAGAGUCAGUUGUUCUUAGUCUCGAAAGAGAUAUUAACAUAAUUUAGGGAUUUCUACGGAUCAAGACAAGUGAAUAAAUCGUUUGAUUCAGAAUCAGAAUAAUAAGUGAUGUCUAGGUGGAUUCUUUCCUGGGUAUUGUCCUAUUCAUAAGUUUUCUUCAAGUAUUUUUUCCAAUUUGCUCUUUGUCGUGUUCAUAGUUAAUUAGUUGAGUUAAAAUUAGAUUAAAACAAAUCCCUUUAAUUAUAGGCUAAAUAAUAGAAAGAUAAUUAUUACUAGUACUUUUAGUCCUCAUGGAUACGAUAUUCCGAACUCACCAUAGCUAUACUACUAAUCGAUAGGUGCGCUUGUCUUAGUUGAAAUAUUAGUUAGUUUCAUGACCCAUCAAGUUUUUGGCGCCGUUGCCGAGGACUAAAAUAUUAGGAACACUUAAUUUUUAUUAAUUUAGUCAUUUUUUAUUUUAUUGCAUUUUAUUUUUGUUUUAGUUUUAUUUUUUUAAAUACUAAUUUUUCUUUUAUUUGCUUUUGGCAGGUUUUUUUUAGUUUAUGACUAGAAGAAAUCCGUCAGGACCUCUAUUAUUUGAUAGUGAAAAUGAAAGCACAACUCAUAGAAAUCGUAGAGAAAUAAGGCGGAGUCUACAGUAGAUAGAGGAAGAGCACAAGGAUGAUACCAAUAAUACUGAGGAGAUGGCUGAAAAUUGAAAUAAUCCAUUACCUCCUGUGGUUGUUGUGAAUCCUGUAAAUCAGAAUCCUGCUCCUCGUAUUAUGUACGACUAUGCCAAGCCUAAUUUAGCAGGGGCUGAAUCGAGUAUUGUAAGACCUGCUAUUGCUGCAAAUAACUUCAAACUAAAGCCGAACACCAUUCAGAUGAUCUAACAAUUUAUUCAAUUUGAUGGUUUGCAAGAUGAGGAUCCAAAUACUCAUUUGGCUAACUUUCUGGAGUACUGUGAUACUUUCAAAAUUAAUGGCUUUCUGAUGAUGCCAUUUGCCUUCAGUUAUUUCCCUUCUCAUUGAGGAAUAAAGCUAAACAGUGGUUGAACUCUCUACCACAAGGGUCCAUCACUACAUGGGAGCAAAUGACCGAAAAGUUUCUGUUGAAAUACUUUCCGUCGGCAAAGAUGGCAAAGUUGAGGAAUUAUAUCUCGUCCUUUGUACAAAUGGACUGAAAAACCCUAUACGAUGCAUGGGAGAGGUAUAAGGAUUUAUUGAGAGGGUGCCUUCACAUGGAUUACCCUUAUGGUUACAAUUUUAGACUUUCUACAAUGGUUUGAACCCCUCAACUAGACAACUGAUUGAUGCAGUUGCUGGUGGUACCCUAAAUAAUAAAACACCUGAGAAGGCUUAUGAGUUUAUUGAAGAGAUGUCACUGAAUAAUUAUAAGUGGCAAGUCAUGAGGACAAAGUCGACAAAAGUCGCUGAUGUUUUUAACCUCAACACGAUCACCAUGUUAUCAAACUAGGUAGAGCUCUUAAAUAAAACGAUUGAUGGUUCAUGUGUUUCUAGGCAGGUACAUUUGGUGAUGCAGUGUGACACAAGUGGAGGAGGAAUGAAUAAUCCAGAAUGCCUAGCCUACGACCCUAGCACUACGAAUAAACAAGUCAACUAUAUGGGUAACAAUUCUAGACCUCAGAAUAACCCCUAUAGUAAUACUUACAAUCUAGGUUGGAGGAACUAUCCCAACUUCUCUUGGGGUGGUCAAGGUAAUCAAAGAUUGCAACCUCUUCCAGGUUUUCAACAACCGCCUUACCAGCAGGAGAAGAAGCCGAACCUUGAGAAGAUGCUAACGAAAUUCAUCUCGGUGUCAGAAAUACGUUUCCAAAACACCGAAACAAUACUUAAAAAUCAACAAGCGUCGAUUCAAGGGCUCUAGAAUCAAAUAAGUCAGCUUACUAAGCUGAUAUCAGAAAGACCACAAGGUAGCUUGCCUAGCAACACCGAGACUAACCCAAGAGAGUAGCUCCAUACGAUUACUGUUCGAUAUGAAGAAGGGUUAGUUGAGUCCAAACCAGAACCAAGAGAAGAAAGCGUGGU
rnacentral:lncRNA from 1 species